CACCACCAUCCCCUAUCUCCUCUUUCCUCUCCCUCUCUCUUCCUCCUCUCUUACUGUUCCCUUCCCCUUUCUCGCCACACCCCACUGCUCCCCUUCCCCCCCCUUCCCAAAAAUCUGGCCUCGAUCCGGGUGAGGCAUGGCUGGAAAAGGGAAGAGAAGGGGAAGGAAGGAGGGGAGGAAAAAAACGGAGGAAGAAGAUGGGAGGAGGGGAGGAGGAGGAAGAAAGAGAGGGAGGAGGAAGAGGGAGGGGGAAUAAAGAGAGGGAGGAGAAGGGAAAGGGUGGUGGGUGGUGAUGGUAAUUUUUAAAAAAUACCAAAAAAAUUUUUAAACUUUAAAAAUACUCCAAAAUAUAUCCCAAAAACACCUUCAAAAACAUUUACAGUAAAAAGUUUUUCAUAUACAAUGUUAUAGUAAAAUAUUUCAAAAACACUCUUGUAAUGCAUGGUCUUGUGACUUUGGUGCUUGAUUAUCAUAACCUUGUUAUGUCCAAUCCAUUGUUCUGUAUCAUAAGUUCGACCUCCAACCUGUGUUUUUAAACUCGGACCGGACAGGGCAGUCGAACCGGGAACCGAACAAGUGUCCGGUCCGAGUUACUCUAAAAAAUCAGGUGUAUAAAAACUCAGUCAAAAACUGGAUUUGACCGGCAAACCGGAUGAACCGGUUUGAUGUCAAGGGUUUUUUUUUUUUUUUUUUGAAAAGGUCAACAUUUUCAAUAUUAUGUUUUGGCCCCUAGGUUGUUAAAAAUUAUGAAUAUAUCACAAAUAUUUCAUACUUUAUAAUUGUUGUUCUAAAGUUUGGUGUUAUUUUUCAAUCAAAUCCAUAAUUUUAAUUCUAAACUUGUUAAUGUUCAUUUAAUAAUAUAAAUUACUACUUGAUCAUUCUAAUUUCUUUGUAUUUUCUUAUUAAAUAUAUUUGAAACAUCAAAUAUAUAUGAAUAUACAUUUAUUAAUAUUAACAUACUCUUAAGGAUUUGACAUAUAAUAUUUUAAUUUUUAAAUAAUUUUUAGUUAUGACAUUAUCCGAUUCAACCCCAAUCGAACCCAUUGACUCCUAAGCUCGACCAAGGCGAUGGCCGGUCCGACUCUGAAAACAUAGCCUCCAACAGCCUCAGAAUGCAUUUUUAAACCAAAAAGCUUCUCAGCCAGUGCAUGUAAAUGCAUUUUUUUUCUGCCUGUUUUGGUUCUAUUUGAUUAUAUUUAUUGCUGCAUAAGAAAGCAAGUUUUGCAUUUUGCAUCAGGGGUCCCAAAACCUUAGGGUGUGCAUUGUGGGUAAGGGCAGAGGUAGGGUGUUUAAUUCUUGGUUAAUCCUUGAGAGCAAGUCGAAUCCCAGUUUGGUAAGGAUGGAUGCGUUUAGUGAACCCUACAGUUCCCAGCUGCUGGUUUUCAACUGGAAAUUGAAAACAGAAAAGCAAAUGAGUAAAUUCAUAUUUAUUGACCUCCAGCUUGUUUAAUUAUCAGAGAGGAAUUUUUGUACUUGAAAAGUUUAAUAGAUAGAUUUGCAAACAUUUCAAAGCUUGUUGAGUGUCUUAUUAUUUAUUAUAAAAUUAUCAUUUUUUUUGGGAGGGGAGGGGUUGGAUAGAAGCUUAGAGACGUGGGAGUGUCGAAAUGGGAGUCCGUUGCUAUUGGUUGAGAUCCAUGGUCUGUAUGAACUCUCUGAACCUGAGCCUUGGGAUAAGAGAGUUGUAUGAAAAGCGUGAGAUUGUGUCUAUCAACUGAUUUUUCAUUCAUGCAGGGUAUUGCUCGGAAGCUGGUAAAGGCUGCAUUGCAAGAAGCAGCCAAGAAAAGAGAGAUGAGGUACUCUGACCUGAAGAAGAUAGAUCGUGGAGUUCGACGGCAUUUUCAUGAUGACAUUACGGUCAUAGUUGUUUUCCUAGAUUCGAAUCUUGUGAGUAGAGCCAGCACUUUGAGAGGCCCCACGUUGUCCCUAAGAGGUGGUGGUAUCAACGUGCCGGCGAAAGCUUUGGCUCCAACACAACUCGGUAGUGCAUGAAAUCUACAUCUGUUGUAUACUCUGCUGUGUCCUUCUGGAACUUCAUGUGACCAUCUUAUGGUAGAUUAAGAGAGACUGGAGAAGGUGCGGCACUAAUUUAAUUUUUACCCCCCGUGUAAAAUUGUAACGUUGACUUGGAACUGGUGUUUUGUUUAGUUUAUGAUCAGUAAAAAAGAGUGAAAGGAUAAGGAAGUAAAGGAGACCUUGAAAUUUACUGUAGAGAUUCUUUCUUGAGGAUUAUCGUUUCAGCUUAUAUUCAUUUUCCUUCCCUUGCCCGCCUCUUUUUUGAAGUGUAUCAUGUAAAUGGUGUAAAACUGAAUCCUCUUGAAAUCAAAAGAUUGUUUGUCUUGUUACAGCUUGUGAUUCAUCAUCUCAGAUGACAAAGUUAUGGUUACUGUAGCCUUAGGGGACUACAACUGCAUGUACCUCGUAAUACAUGGUGUUGGGCGAGAUAAAUUCGGCUUUUCAGGCAUGGAGAAUGGAUUUUACAUCUAGAGAGGAUUUGGUCCUUUUGGAAUGAUAAGUGCAGGUUUAUGACCAAGUUAAAUGAUGAGCGGCGAAGAAUAUGAUCAGGCUGAUCCCCAAGAGAUAUCAGUUCGGGCGGUACGGUAAGCAGACGGAUGCCGCCCAGCUUUAGGUUUUCUUCUUUGUUAUUCUUCCUCUUUCACUAGAAUCUAGUCAAUUAUAAUAACUUAGACCCUUGAACGAAUAUACAAGUACAUGUGUUCUGAUUAAUUGGUGAUCUUUGGGUAGAUAGGGUAAAGCAACAAGGAUAAGGUAUUCAAGCAUGGUUAGCCAUCUCAGUGGAGUCCGACAAAACUCAGUCGAGUCAUCAUUGGAACAGAGGAAUUGUUACGAUAUUGAUCUCUAAAUUGUAAAUAAAUCUUGCGGUGGCUCGCUCUGACUUGAUCGAUAUUGGACAAGUCAAAGCCAAGUCAAAACUGAAAUCGACGUAAAUCUUCGAGUCCACUUGGGAAUCAAACAAAGGCAGACAAAAAUUUGCAGAAACAGAGUUAUGCAACAAAUUGGUGCUACUCCAAUGGUUCACAACAACAAUUGCCUUUCAUCAUAUCUCUAUUGUUUUACCUUUUUUUUUUUUUAAGCUUUUAUUGGAAAAUUGAACGCCUAAUAAUUGAAACCAAACAAGCAAAUUGAUAGGUUAUGCACUUAUCCUUUUAGAAGUCAAGCCCAUCUCCAUUUUUCCUAACAAUAGCCAACAAUCAUGUGUGAGUUGAAUCCCAUCUCCACCAAGUCUUGCCUUUGCCUUUGUUUUUAUUAGAAAAGAAAAGAGUUUUUCAGGAAAAUUUAAUCCAUUAGUAACGGCGAAGGGAAAGGAAGAAAAGGGAGGGAAAGGCUCAAGAUUUGGUAGCCAAUAAGGAUGAUGCAACAUGAUGGUCGUGACUAGUGAUGCUAAUAUGACAAGUCAAUCAAAGGUCAAGGAGUUAGGAAGCUUUGGGGUUAAAGGCUUAAAUAGGUGCUAAUGUGAUAAUUAGGGUAAAUAUGGGUUUUUCAACUUUCAAAUUUAGGGCAAAUUAUCCAAUUAGCUCUUGAACUUUUUAUCUAGGUAAAAAUAAGCCUCUCAUCUAUUUUUGGCUGAUUUUAAGCCCUCGAACUUGUAAAAUUGAACACCGUGACUCUUUUAGCCAGUUUAUCCGAUUUUGCAACCGGAAGGCCAAUUUACAUGAAUGCCUGUGUGAUUCUUCAAAAGGCAUUUUUGUCCGCAUCUUCUAGGUAAAAAUGGAACAACUCCUCCUAGUUUGUUAUCCCAGUGAAGCAGAUGGGUACUUACUUCACUCGACUAGCUUCUCAAAUCUCAGUGUGGGUGUGUGUGUCUCAAUCAUGGAAGCAUACAAACUAUAGCGUGUUCGUACUUACCAGAAGAAGGGGACCGACAACAUAAGAAAAACCAGCCAAGAUAGAAGAGGAAGUUCAUGGAAAAGGAAUAGAAUUGUUUUUACUACAUACUUCUUGUACGUAUUUCAGUUUGAGGUUUUGAGGAGAGGUGCGGUUUCUUUCACAGUGGUAAAAUGCAGAAAUAAUACUCGGUCCAAGAAGAAGAGGAAGAGUGGUUAAAUUUAUAAUUCCAGCAUCCAUCUCUGGGGAAAUCAAAUUAAUUUCAACUCUGAGUAAAGAUGGCGGAUACUACUAGUAAUUAAUGGGGAAGUUGCACGGGAACAACCUCGGAUCCGUGGUGUUCGACCACCCGACUCCCGGCGGAGGGCGUCAGUUUAAGAUUUGGUCAGCCUCAUUCCGCCGUAUUAUACUGGACACAGUUCAGUGCGGGACGCGGCAGCAUCAUAAGCUCAACAACACUGGCAAAUUAACCAUCCAAGAGCCCAAGCUGGAGCCCGACAUUGAUCUCACUGUAGUCACAACACUGAGAUAUGAGUUGAGUAAAGGUAGUAUUAGCAGUGGGAUUAAGGAUCCAACAAACACACCGCCCUCCGAAUCUGACAAGUUAUCAGACCUUCUGAAGCUAUCGGAAAAAGAAAACGAACCGGACGAGGAAGAGGCGGAGGCGGUGAAGAGGAAAGUGGAGGCACUGGAGGAAUUGAAGACAGUGGUGAAGAAUCUCCAAAGUAGCAGUAGUGGUAGCAGCAGCCAACAACUCGAGGAAAAUGAAAACCAUGGCUUCUUAGCUCCAGAUGUUCGCGUGUUGGAGGCAGCCAAGGAGAUUAGAAGGCUCGCUAAAGGCGAUUCUCAAGCCAGAACCACUCGUGCUUUGCUCGGAGCAAUAUCCCCGCUCGUGGCUUUGCUGGACGCCCCCCCGCAAUUCUACUUGUAGUACUUAUUCAUGUUUGUUCCUCCUUCCUAGAGAAAUUCCUCGAGGAUCCCAAAUUCGAGAUUGAAUCUGUAAUCCCAACAAGAUUACAGAUUCACUCCAACAGGAUGUAAUCUUGUUGUUACCCCAGUGAAGAAGGAGGAGUUGUUCCCUUUUGCUCAGAAGAUGCGGACAAAAAUGCCCUUUGAAGAAGCACACUGGCAUUCGUGUAAAUUGGCUUUUCGAUUGUAAAACCGGAUAAAUUGGUUAUAAAAGGGUCACGGUGCCCAGUUUUACAAGUUCGAGAGCUCAAAGUCAACCAAAAAUAGAUGAGAGACUUAUUUUUAUCUAGAUAAAAAGUUCAAGGGCCAAUUGGAUAAUUGACCCUCAAAUUUAUGGGCUUUCAAGGGUAUGGAAUUUGACAUUUUGAAGGUGGUUUUUACAAAGGAAUUUUUUGGGCCUAUUUGAUGGAAGCGCAGAUUAGCUAUUUGAGCAAAGGUUUGUUAAUUUGUUCAUUUAUUUGAAAUUGUUAAAGGUUUUAUUUCUAAUUUACUAUUUUCCUAGAUUUAAUAUUUAAUAUUUUUGUUAUGUGAUUUGCAAAUUUAUGUUACAUAUGCUUAACAAUAUAAUUACUUAGACUAGAUUUAUGGUUUGUUCAACAAAUUUCUCCUUAUAUGUUAUCAUCAGCUCGAGUGCGAUUAAUAUUGUGUUGUAUAAAAUAUAACGGUUUUAAUCUUAUAUUUAACUUUUGAUAUCAUAUAAAAUAGGAAUAAAAGGUGUUCUUAAUGGUAAAAUGAUUUACUUUUAAUGCUAUAGAUCAUUAGUUACAGUAGCAUAAAUUUGUUUAACUAAUUAGUGACACUGUAGGUAUUUAACAAAUCUAAUUUGAUAAUUGUACUUGUUAUGGUAUUUUCUAUUUUGUAGUAAGUUUUUCAUAUUUUUUGAAAAUUUUUAUGUGCUGUAACGUGCAUAUCAUCUGAUAUCCAACCGACAUGUCACGACGGAUAUGGAACAACCGCAAUCACGACAUGAGACCUGCGACGGCGAACCAUGUAUCCAAGGGUCCAGAAAAGCCAGAAACCUUUAAAGAUGAAUUUGAAAUCAUGUCAGAUAUCUAGAGCUGGAAAACCAGGCUGAAAUGCAAUGAUGGAUGCAAUCUAGUUGCUACUUUGGAUGCAAGAGACGACGAGAGAAUUAUCUGAAGCAACUUUUGAACUCUGUGGAUGACAUCGAUAUAAUUCUUCAAGAAAUGCUGCAAAUUUUCACUUCCUAUGCAAAGAUAUUAUGCCUUUUCAGCUUCAAUAUUUCACGAACUUGAAUGCUUACGAAAGAGAAAACCAAGAAAACUAAACUGGAGAGAAAUUCUACUUAGAAAAGUUCUUAUGUACAUGUGCCCCCCAAUCCUUGAAAUUGGACAGUGAAUGCAAAUAAUCCUCAGAAGAACAUAGGAUUCAAAUCUACCCAGUUGGCAACUCAAGUACCAAAAUAACCCUUUACAAACAUACAAGCAAACCUUCUCUCUUUCUCUAAAACACACAAUGUUAUAAUGGGUAAUGGCAAAUCAUGCUAACAUCAUAGUCUAAGCUGAAUUCAUUUGCCCCUGUGACCUUGUCCUCAUCCAUGCUUAUACUUAUCUCCUCAGCAAUGCCUCUUAGAUUCUUUGCAGCAGCAUCCAUGUUAAUGCUGUGCUCGAAACACGUCAAACUCGAACUCCGGAAAGAGUGACUAUCUAUGUCUACAUGAAAUUUUUGAAGUCCAAUUCCAUCUAUGCUUAUGGAACUUUGAGAAUGACCAUUGUCAAUCGAUCCGCGAUCCCGAUAACCAGUUGAUCCACUACGGAAUCCUGAUAGUUCCUCGGAAUACAAUGAAGAUUGUUUAGGUAUAAAGAUUUCUACUGAAUCAAGAGCUGUCUCUAGUUCUUGCCACACUUGAGUCAUUGUAGGCCUCUCUUUCGGCAUCUCCACCACACAUCUUAAUCCAAGUUGUCCCAUCUUCAACAUUAUCUCCAUGUUACAUUCCUCUAGUAGAAUAUUUGCAUCUAUGAUUUCGUCAACUCUUCCUCUCUCCAGGCUAGACCUCGCCUGCACUUUUGGAAGAAAAAAAGAUCAUUCCAUUUCUUCUUUCUCACUCGAUCAUAUCUGGAUAAUGCAUGUGUUGGUGCAAAAUACACAAAAAUCAGCGCGGACAGCAUGAUUGCAACAAAAAUAAGGACCAAAAGGGGCACUUGUAUGUAAUGCUGGUAUUCACGUUUAUUCUACAUAAUAAGAUAGCCGGAUCUUUUACUUACCCAAUCAACAACAUGAAUAUUAGGGUGUUUUCUAGAUGAAUCGACUGCAGGUCUAGCAGUAACAAGUUGCAGAAGAAUGACACCGAAGCUAUAAACAUCGGUAAAAGGACUUAAAUGGAAGCUUGCACAGUAGGCAGGGUCAAGGUACCCUGGUGUCCCUUUAAUCUGACUGCUUACAUGUGAUUGAUCCCCCACAGGACCUGAUUUAACAAGGCCAAAAUCUGAGACCUUAGCCUCAAAAUUCUCGCUUACUAAGAUGUUACUUGGUUUUAUAUCUCGAUGGAUUAUACUUGGCUUUACUCCUUCAUGCAGAUGAGCUAUCCCUACAAAAUUAAGCAGAUGAUGCAGUUUAGGAAUUGACCCCUUCUUGUACUUUUUAUCAUUGAACUGUAAAAAGAGCUCUCGUUAGAACUCACCCUUGGCUGCUCCAAUUGCUAUAUUUACUCUUUGCCUCCAAGUUAAGCUCUUUCCUCCCCUUCCUGUAACAGCAAUCAUAUAUUCAUUAAGAAUAUUCAUGUACAUUAUGACAAAAAGUAACUUCAAAAAAAUUUUUUUUUUUGAGUUACUGAGAUUUGACUAAUACCCAAACAAGUGUUACAGAAUACAAGGGGUAUGCCCCUGGCACCAACACUAAUUCAAUCCAUGGUAGGAUUAACAACAAAACACCCACCCAAAUCUAACACAAUCCCAACUUAAAAUCCAACACAAGUUAUACAACAAUAGAAGAUCAUUAACGAAAAUCAUGGUAUGUUAGUAACCAAGACAUCUUAGGUUCAAAACUUACCCAUGAUAUAAUCAAGUAAUGAACCAUUGCUGACAUAUUCAUAGACCAUUAUCUUUUCUGCUCUUGAUCCUGAUGAAACGCAAGCUAAUUAGACACUUGGUGCAUGAUACAUCUAUGUGCUGUUAGGUAAAUAUCUCAUGUUUAGGUACAUCAUCUUACAACAUUAGUCUGCCUACGCAAGUAAAAAUCAGACAUUUAUCGGUGUUAUAGUUUACCAGCUUGCUCGCAGAACCCUACCAGACCAACAAGGUUCUCGUGCUUCACUUUUGAAAUCAACCUGACCUCUGUUUCACAAACAAACCUAUAGUGAAUCAGUUUUACAAAUCGGAUGGAAAACUAUGUGGCUAUGAAAGAAAUAAAUGGUAUAGCACAAGUUAUGGAGCGUUGCCAUUUCUAAAUUCCUCGAUGCUUGUGCAUGACGAAGGAUGAAGCUUUUUGAUUGCCAAUACUCCCUCGGCUUCAAACGAUCCUCUAUAUACAUUUCCAAAUGCGCCAGUACCAACCAAGCAAUCUUGGCUAAAAUUAUUAGUUGCCUUCUGUAGUUCUUCUAACUGAAAUCUUCUUGACCACAUCUUUCCCGCAUCCAGCUUACCUAAACAUUGCCAAGAACUGGCUCAGCCUUUUCGCGUUGAACAUGCCUUAGAAUCUUAUCAAACAUAACAUAAGACUAAUUGACUUACCUUUGCCGUUUUGUCGUAACUUACAGCCUGCAUAAAGCUUCCUCUUGUAACAAAUAAUCAACCAGCCAAUCACAAAUACGGCAACAAUAACUAUGAUAAUCCCUCCCCAUACAUGUUUGCGCGCAAGAAAUGAACCACGAUUUUCAGUUUGUGCAGGUGCUAAAGCAGGCAAAGAUGGUGUUUUUUCUGCCAUGAUGCGUUGAUAUCGUUUCCCAAUUAGAAAAAUGGCAUGAAAUCCAACUCGUAAGUUUUAAUUCUUGCAAGUCUAUUCGUUAAAACUACUACUGAGUUUACUCUCUUCUGUAUAUUAAUUACUCGCUCUUUCAAAUGAGCAGUAGCAUUAUUUGAUUCCUCUUUUGCAACAGCUGAUUGACUAAUUAAGAAGCAAUCAAGCAGAAGAAACAAAGAAACAUAAAGGCAGAUAUAUGGGGUGGGGGGAGUUUAAUCUCAGCCGGCUACCCUCAACCUCAAGUUCAAUUGUCGCAGUCCAGUCUCAUCUCUGACUCGGUCACUGAAUUCUUCUCUCCAGACGGCACACCAGGACAAGGAAGCAUGCAAUCAAACAAUUAUUUUCCAUAAAGAAGAAGAAAACAAACCUACUCUUAAUUCAAUAAUUCUAAAGAUAGUUCAGCCAACUGGUUAAUCAACUUCGUGCAUUUUCUCAGACAUGAAACAGGAUACAGCUUGCAUGCAAACUGGCUUGGCAGAGGAUAUUGUUUUAUGAAGUAAAACAAGUAGGAUGGCCUGUUUCCUCUAGCGGAGAUCAUUUCUGCUUUUCUUCUUGAUGACAAAAAGAGGGGGCAGAGGCGACCAGCAAUAGCUCCCAUGGUUGUAGACAGGGAAACAAAGGGAGAAUCAGAAAAGUACCGAAUUUUAUUUAUUUAGCAAGUAAACUUCAACAAAGAACAAAAUACGACUUUGGCAAAUUUGUCCAUGCAUACAAAUUUUCUAAUAUUACAAGAUUAGGAGCUUGAAAACGAUCCAUAAUAGUCAUAAUUUCUUAAUCUGUUACUUCAGUAUAUCGUUCAAUUUUUUAAACGAGACAUCAUAAAUAUUUCUACUACAUUAAGUUUUUAUGUUUCUUAAUAGUUCCAUUGAGCUCUAAACAGCCUUUCAAUUGACGGUCUUGUGAAUCAUUAAUUUCUUUGGUUUUAAAUUCAAUGAAUCAUACAAAAUACAGAAGCCGAUCAUGAUGAACUAGAAAAAGCCAUCAACCUUGGAUGUCAUCCCCCUCGUUUAUUUUCAACCGAAGAUAAUGACCAGUUCUUUUUGAAGAAAGAGGUAAUCCCUCGGACUUUAUCAAAGUAUCUAAUAGCUAGUUUGGGAGGAUGGAAAUGAAAAGAAAAGAAGAGAAAUGAUAAUUUAGAAAAGAAAAGAAAGGAUCAAAGUUUCUAUCUAAGUUGUUUGGGAGUUUUAAAAAAGAAAAGAAAGUGAGUAAUUUUCCUUUGUUUGGGAGUUGAAUGCAAAGGAAAGGAAAAGAUACUUAAACAAAUUAUUUUAUAAAUAUGCCCUUUCUAUAAACAAAUGUGAGAGGGAUUCAUCAGGUAUUAAAAUGUUUUGUAUAGGAUUUUAAGGGUAAUUUGGUCAUAUUAAAAAAUUUACUUAAACUUCUGUCCGUUCCUUCCCUUUCCGCCCAAUGUUGGGCGGAAAGUUUUCCAAAAGAUGUAGGGCGGUGGAAUCUUUUCUAUUCUUUUCUUUUCCUUCUCAUUUUAACUCCCAAACAAUGGAAAAACUUUCUUAUCUCUUCAAAACCUUUCUUUUCUUUUCAUUUCUAUCCUCCCAAACUAGCUAUAAGUCUCUCUAUUAAUUAACAGUUUGGGCGCCUACCAGGCCCUCGUUAGUAGGGUUUGAAGGGUUUGAGGUGUUAAUUUCUUUAAAAAGUCAUUAAUUAAUUAAAAGCACAUACUCCUUCCGUCGCUCCCAUUUGAGGUGUUAAUUUCUUUAAAAAGUAUAGGUAAUUUGAGAAGGAAAGUGUCUAAAGACAGAGGAUUAUAUUAAUUGUGAAUGUGUAUUAAUAUAGUAAGUUAGGUGUCAUUGAUUAAUUAAAAAGCACAUGCUUCUUCUGUACAGUCCAAAUUACAGUUCACUUUCUAAUUGAAGAAUAUAAUUAACUUAUAAUUUCUCUAAAAUAACCUAUUUUGUUAUCAAUGACUAUAACCUAUCUUAUUUAUUAAUUGUUUGGAUUCAUGCCUUGAACCGUACAACUUUUCGUAGUACAAUUGUUGUAAUUAAUGUAAAAGUAUAGUAAUUAGUUAUACUCCUAAUAUUAAUGUAAGGGUAUUUUAAGAAAAUAGUAGGUUAGAUUUACUCUUCCGACAAAGUUAACUAAAUUUUCUUAAAUUAUGUUAAAAAAAAUAAAAUUAUCAAAGUGGGACAAAAAGAGCAUUUAUUUUGGUUGCCAAAUGACUAUGAACCACGCAACUUUCACCCCAAAACUUCUCUAUCUCCCCUAUUCAGUAAUUCUUGUAAGGGAAAUUUGCCAAAGUGGUCCCUAACAUUUAUCAAAAACACUUUUUUAUUCCUUUACAUAUAAAAUCAGCCAGAAUGGUCCUUCACAUUUAAAUUGUGAGCCAAUGUAGUCCUAUUGCUCGUUUUUGCUCAUUUCUCCGGCUAAAAAUAGCACGCCCCUCUCACAUGGUCGUAUUUUUAGGGGCAAAAUCGGAAACACAUUUCAUUACCCGUUGAAAGUAAAAGGAAUAGACAACCACCAAAAUACACAUUUCACCUUUGGCUCUCAAAGUUUCAAGAAACCCUAAAUUGCAUCCCCGAAUUAACAAGCAUUACUUGGAAAUGUACUGCUGAUGAUGACGACGGCAAACCUGUAAGGUGUGAUUGAGAAAUAAUCAAAAAUUUGGCCAGAAAUUCGUGAAGAAAAUAAAAAAGAUGCAGAACGAAUCGGGAAAUGGGACUUCACAAUGGGUUUCUUGAAACUGCUGUUGGCUGUUGAAUAAGUAUGUGUAUUUAGCUCGAAUCUCAUUUUUCAGCAUUCCACUGCUAUUGGCGUUUGCUAAAUUCUGAUUUUUUUUCGAAGGAUCUUUUAGUUUCAUGCCCUUUUAUAUAUAUAUAUAUCUAGCAGCAGAAGAGAUGUCUGUGGCGGCUUCGGCUGCUGCUGCUGCUGUUGGGGCUGGAGCGGUCGCCUUGUUCAGACUAAAAGGUUGCCUUCUUCCCCCUCCACCUCCUCCUGUUCUUGUCUUCUACCGAGCUUUUGCACCAUUUCCAUACCGAUACCACUUCGCUUCUUAUUCUACUUCUACUUUGCUUUCACAAGAAGCAGCAGCUGCUGCUUCUCAUCUUCCACGCUCACAUGCCGCCAAUACCUCCUCCAGUGUGGUGGAAAUUCUUGAACAGAAGGGCCUGCUGGAAUCUCUCACCAGCGAUAGUCUCAGGUCCAUCUGCUCCUCCUUUGCCCCUAACCAACCACCUCUUCGAGUCUACUGUGGUUUCAACCCCACCGUCGACAGCCUCCACCUCGGCAAUCUCCUUGGCAUUAUUGUUCUCUCUUGGUUCCUUCGCUGCGGUCACCGUGCUGUUGCCCUCAUUGGGGGAGCCACCGGCCGCAUAGGUGACCCUUCUGGCAAGAGUUCCGAAAGGCCUGAACUUGACCUUGAAACCCUCCAGAAGAACAUUUCUGGGAUUUUCGCCACCAUUCGGGGAUGCAAUUUAGGGUUUCUUGAAACUUUGAGAUCCAAAAGUGAAAUGUGUAUUUUGGUGGUUGUCCAUUCCUUUUACUUUCAACGGGUAAUGAAAUGUGUUUCCGGUUUUGCCCCUAAAAAUACGACCAUGUGAGAGGGGCGUGCUAUUUUUAGUCGGAGAAAUGAGCAAAAACGAGCAAUAGGACCACAUUGGCUCACAAUUUAAAUGUGAAGGACCAUUCUGGCUGAUUUUAUAUGUAAAGGACUAAAAAAGUAUUUUUGGUAAAUAUUAGGGACCAAUUUGAUAAAUUUCCCUUCUUGUAAAAACAAAGACAGAGUUACAUCCUCUGCAACACUUGCACGCAUGAUGGCUUCACAGGCAUUCAAAAGAUAGUGAUGGAAAUUGUAUAGAUUGUUUCAAAAGGAAACUCAUAAUGGAGAAAAAAAAAUUCAGAAUUACAGAUAUCCUGAGGUCUGUAGAUCACCGGUUAACUCCACCAAAAGGUAAAUGAUGAGGCAUUAGAGAUAUAAAUAAUAAAUGAGUACUGCUACAACAGCUGUUCGUCGUCAGCUUCCGUUGUUUUUUGUGACAAGGUAACCUAAGAUGAAUCCGAAAGAGCCAAGACAAGCUAACGUAAGCCCAGGCCCAGCCUACUCGAAUCAUAAUGGAGUUUGGGUUGCCGCCGUUUGGGGUUGGACCGUCGCAGGAUUUUGAAGAUUGAUUCCACGGAAAAAGAGUACGUACUUGUUCUUUAAACUUGAUGAAGCCAGAGACUUGGGCCUUAGAAUGCGAUAUUUAACAUCACAAGUGCGGAUCCUUUAUUCUUGUCUUUUACUUUCUCUGGACCAAACGUGUGCUCAUAGUUAAACACUUUUCCACCAGCAAAAGAAUUUGUCAAAAUAAAAUAGAAAAACCAGAUAAUGCUAUUUAUAAAUCGAUCAAUCUAAAAGACAAAACCUCAGCCUUAUGCUACAAUUAAGGUCAAUUUCAUGUUAGCUCCGCUAGAUUAAGCUUUUAUUAUUAAUUAUUAUUAUCAUUAUUAUAUCACAUGUGAUGUAACCCACAAUUAUGAGAUCAAUACAACAAAAUUACAACUAACCCAUGCAAAUUAUAGCUCCUUCAACAUACAAGUCAACUAACCUCCAUUUGCUCAAAAAGGGCAAAAAAAAUCCAUUACUAGUAAGACAACUACUACUAGCAUAAGUUAGAAAAAAACUCGCAAGUUUUGAGACUCGAACCGGAAUCUUUUAGAUUUUGAGGUCCUAAUUUUGAUAUGUAUUCUUGGAGAAGUAACUUAUACUACAUGAUAACCAACAGAAUUGAGGUCAAACGUAUGGAAACAUCGAAAUCAUGAGAUUGGGAUUUUCCCUAAUUUGGAUCGAAUUGCCCAGUUCGUGCUCAAGAAGCUUCAUUUCGCAAGUUAAGACUAAUCCUUUCGUGUUGUACACUUUGGUGCAAUUUGAAACUUAUCAACAAUGACGAGUGAAUUGACUUUAUAAGUUGCAACUCCUUCAACCUUCUUCUGACAAAGACCAUCUUCAUAUGUGGGCUUAAAGAAGCUGAUGUAGGACUAGGAUGUGUAAAAUAAUCUGUACCACGUAGCAUUUCCCAUUUCUUGUAUUUGGAUUUAAUGUAUUUCAUACUCAUAAAAUGAUUUUGUUUGGUGUUGGACGGUAUAAUUCAUAAUUUGAAUUUUUCAACAAGUUUAAUAAAAUAUGUACACUAGUUUUCAAAUGCAUUCCAAUUCCUAUCCAACUUAACAAGGGGAUGAUGUAUGUAUUACCAUCACGUUUGAUUCCAAAUGCUUAGGAUACCUGCUUCGGUUUUCUUGUUAAGCCAAUAAGCCAAAGACCUUGAGCAUAUCUGCCGACACAGAUUUGGACAAGCCAUCAUCAUUCCGAAGUUCAGACUUCAGACAUGAAAAACUCAACAUCUAAAUGUAACUCUUACCCUCUUAGACAAGUGUCAUACAUGUCUGUCUUUGAUGUGGGUAGUUAUGAGCUAAUGGCAGAUGUACCGAAUCUGAUGUACUGAAUUUUUAUCCCCCAUUUUCCACUAUUUUCUUGUUUGAAAAAUACGUUUGGAUGGAUUCGACUCCGAUCAUCAUUAUGAACCAGAGCAUGUCUAGAUGAGAUUAUAAGUCGCUUAUAAGGGCUCUUACAUAUCGCUUAUUAAUACAAUUGUCACUAUUGUUAUUAUUAUUAUAAAACCCGAUAAGGAUAUGCAACGAAUUCGAAUUCAACAAUUCGGAAGUUUGAAUUAGGAAUUUUUCGAAAAUUUGGCAGCAGAAUUACCGAUCGAAUUCGAUUUCGAAUUCACCAGUUCCGAAUUCGAUUUUGAUUCAGUAAAUUCGAAAUUCACCGAAUUCGGAAACCCUUUUUCCCUUUUUUUUUUCCUUUUUUGUUAGAUGUAUAUAAUAUAAAUUUUAUAUUACAUAUAUUAUAAAAAAUAUUAUUAUUAUAUAUAAUAUAUAUUAUAAAACGAAAUUGAAAUCGGAAAUUUCAAUUUCGAUUUCCGAUUUCGAAAUAUGAAUUCGAAAUCGAAAAUUUCGAUUUAAAAAACUCUAUUACCGAAUUCGAACCAAAUUCGCAUAAUUCGAAAUCAGAAAUUCCAAUUUAAGUGUCGAAUUCCGAAUUACCAAUUUUGAAAAAUUCAAAUUCAAUUCGAAUUCGAUCGGUAAAUCAAAAUUUUUCGAUUUUUCACACUCCCAGAACUCGAUGCCUAGUGCUUCUUAGUCCUCUUUUGUUUUUUUGGGGGGUGGGGGGGGGUGUAUAAUUUUUGACAACACAUCUUUCUCUACCAAGAUUUUUAUUAGAUUAACGAACCUUUGAUAGUUCAAGUGGUUAAGUGGGUGCUAAGCAUGUUACUCUUUGCAUUGCAGCUAGAAAUAGUUAUAAAGUCCUUGUACGCUUACUAAGGUGAAAAUACAGGUCUCUUCAAAUAACACAAUUCUGAUGAUUUCUUCGCUGCGGAAUUCAAUCAAGGGCCGCCCUGCCAGUACAAGAGGUCCCCAAAAUAAAUUCCUGUUUGGAUGCAUCGUGUAUCAUCUUGGGCAGGUGUGGAAUAAACUAGAGAUACAAGACUAACAAAAUUAUGGAAACAUCUACGUUCAAAUUUAUGACUACCACAAUUUCAACGAUUGCUGUAAAAAUCACAUUCACAAUCAAUUGACUUAACCAUUCAUAAGUUAGUCCCAACAUCAUCUUUAAUGAGCCAUGCAUACACCUCAAAAAAAAAGUCCCUAGUGACUGCUGUACUGUGGGCAACCUACAACAUUUUGCAGACUGCAAUUGGUGAGGAUGUCAGAGAAUUGGAAGGAAAAUCCAGGUUCAUCUCAUUUCCUGUAGUAAUAUGGUGGAAAUUUCAAAGAUGUUAGUUUUUUUUUUCUCACAAAUGAUCAAGAACACACGCACACAGUUAGAUAACACUCGGAGAACACAAAAGAUGUUAGAUUAACACGAAAGAUGUUAGUUAUUCUCACAUCUUUUAUCUCCACUCUCUGACUUUCAAAUAAAGAAAAAACCUUCUCCUUCCUUGCAAAGGAGGCUUGAAACCCUUUCAGGAUUGAGUUGCUUAGCAUACAGCACAAAAAUUAUCAUAAGCUAUUGUAACAUUCUUUGGUCAGGUAGGACUCUAGUGUCAGAAUUUGGUAGCUGUGCUUCAAACGAGUUUGAAAGUCUACUGUUCAUGGCAGUCAUAGUAAUACACAAUCUUUAACUAAUCUAAAAACCAUAAGUCCUUUUAUCAAGCAAAUAGUAGUGCUUUGAAAGUAACAGGUUUCAAAAUAUAUGAGAAUCCUAUCAAACUUGCUCCUGGGGAUACUUAUCGUCAAAUCCAAUUCAACACUCCAAACUUAAACCUAAAAGGACGAUAUAGAAGAAAGAAACAAUAAUAGUCUUUUAACUUGACUGACCCAAUAAUUUACGUUGGCCUACACGGAUGUCUUCUUUCAAUCCUAACAUAGGGAGUAAAUAAGCUUGUCCCCAGCUCCCAAUUAAAUGUAAACAACCAACAACAAUUACAGAUGCAUUUGUAUCAGGGUCCCAGUUCCAGUGGCUCAUAAUUGCAUCUGGUCGGUGUUGCUCACUUCUCUGGCACUAAAGAGUGACAGGCAGAUAACAAGACCAGGAAAGUUCUCAAGGGCUUGCCUCAUAUGCAGGCACGAAGGCCAUACCCUAUAGGAGGACGAGUACUCCCCAAAUUAGCUGUAGGUAAAAAAUUGAUCUCCUGUACUUGAAAUGAUAAGUUCGCCUAGUACAGUGCGUUGAAGACCGAAUAUGGGUUAUAUCCCUCGGCCAAGAACACUCACAAAGUGGUCCUGAUGACCUUAUGGGACAGGAACAAACACACAAACAACCCCCACCCAAAAACACCAAAAACAAAAGAUUUGAGACCAUAAACAUGCCCUUGAUUCCUGCUUCCUAAUCAUGCUCAAGACGACUCUUUCUACAUCUUUAAGACAGAAAUUUUGACAUGAAAAGUGAUAUGAGAUUUUGAUCAAAACAUCACAUGACGAGAAAGCACUAGGGAAUCAGAUCACUAUCAUAAACCUCAAAAUUUUUUUACAAGACUGAUGAUCAAGUACAAGACUGAACUAAGCGUGACAAACUCGUGCUAAUUACAUGUGGCUGUUUGGAAAAAUGGUAUAACUGAGGGUUUAAUUGAAUAAAUAGAAACCCUAUAUACUAAUGUAUAAUUUACAAGAACAGAAAGUUUACAGGUCCCUUCUGCACAAUGGACAAGAUCCAUGCCUCACCAACCAUGUGUCGAUGCAUGGUAGGUGGAACAUGUGGUGACAAUGAGGUAAACUUCUAACAGUCUCCCCAAUCUGAAAGUCCUGCACAGAGAAACAACCAAUACAUUAGAUGAGAAUUUGCAAGCAUUCUGGACUAAUAAUCAAAUGGCAUAAUACAAAGAGUAACUUGUAAAAGUACCUGAAGGCAGACGGAACAAGAAACUCGCUCGCCAGAAUCAUCGACAUUGUUAUCGUCCGUGAUCACAAUCUUUGGUAUCUUUUCAACAGAAUCUCCAGGCAAACCCUUGGCACCCCCAGUGUCAAAUAUGUUGGGGACCUCUUCAAAUGUCGUUUCAACAGCUCCCAUCUGAUUCAUCAGCAAAACUAUAAGCAAACGAAAAAAUUAAAAAGAACAUAAGAUUUUCUGAGUAACAGGAAUUUGCUCUUGCCUGACUUUGCACUGCACUUAACAUAGCAGGACCAAUCCGCUCACGAACAAGUCUGCCGCUUAACAGGCUCGCAAUGACAUCGAUCUGAUGAAAAAAUUCAUGAUAUUUACACAUAUUAGGCACACAUAUUUUCAAUGAAUAAGAUGACUGAGUCGCUAAUGAAGUCACAAUUGCAAUACAUUUGCAGAAUUAAGGACACCAAUUAAGAUGUUCAGAUUAUGAGAAAAUAUAGAACUUUGCUCACCAAAUAAAGGAGGCACCCAAUGCCAGAUUCAUCAGACUGCCAUAGGAGAAGGGAUGACUCGAAGACCUCAAUGGAGAAAACAGCUCCAGAUAUUGCACCAACUGCAGCCCCUCUAACAAAUCCACUUUCAGUCUCUUGGCCUAUCAAGGCUCCAGUCAUAGCUCCUAAUAAAGUACCCACUGCAUAACCAAAAGCAAGUUAAUUUCCCCUUCAGUUUUCCUUUAACCAACCAAAUAACAGAGUUCCACAGGCCAAGGAUUACCUAAACCUAUUUCAUUUUGUAAUACAUACAUAAUAUACAUAUAUGAAUUUCUGACAGGUUGAAGCCCAAAACCCCUGCCUAUUUGGGGAAUUUAAGAGAGAGAGAAAUUUAGAUGAAAAACCGUCUACAGCAAAAUGCUCAAGAAGAUUUCAGAAUGAUUCCAAAGAUUCUCGCUUUUCGUGCAAGUAUCAAAUGAUCUAAAGACAAUACCGCAAUACACCAAUUUUGGCAACAUUAUGAACUAUCAGUCGCGAGAUCUCAGACAAAACUAAAGAUGAGAGAAAAGGAGGAGGUUAGUAAAAUUCUCUCUUUUUUCGAUAAAUAAAUAUGGGCAAAUUCUACAAGCUAAUUUGCACACAACAUCAUUUGAAAAAUCGACAACAUCCCAGAUCGCAUAUGUGCAAAUUCACAUCAGAUAACACAAGUAAAUCUAGAAUCAAUGGCCAUUUGACCACAAAAUUGCAAACUUUAAGAGAAACAGUGCAGGGUAGAGGGCAAGCGGGAUAAUUAUAAUGAAACAAUUAAAUUAAAAGGAAAACUAAAGGAUUAACACUCACCUAGUGCAAAGAAAAAGGUGAAGAUUGCAGAGAAUACAUUUCCAAUAAUAGCAGAAACUGCAAAGCUGAAAUAUUGUUUAACUUUAUCGGCCAAAUUCCUGAAUGAAAAUGAGAAAGAAGAAGAAGAAGGCAAAGAAUGAGAUGGAUAAGCAUAAAACUCCAUGGAUUCUGUCUCCAAUCUCAAGAAUUUAGAAAAGGGUUUUUUUUUUUUUUUUUAUUGGGAAGAAAAAGAGGAUUUUGGUUCAGGUCUAUAACCUAUAAGGAACCAGCUACAUACAGAAAUAUCUAAGCUUAAUUAUGUACGUGUUGUUGGACAUAUAUAGGGCAUAGGGUAAGACUAAGAGGAGAGGGGGUCCAUAUGGUGGCGUUUUCGUAAUAUUGUCCUUAGUCCUUAAGAGAAGAUAAAAGGAAACCACAUAAACCAACUGGGCUUUUCUUCUAUUGUUAAUUUUCGCAGAAAUCAGUAGUGUGUAAAUAGAGGAUUUAUAACUUUUUCUUCUUCUUGUCCUGUGGGACUUGUGGAUUCCCUUCUUUAUUUCAAUAUUUCACAGGCUUUUUCUUGUUUCUUUUACUUCUUGUUUUCCUUUGUGUGAAAAUUAUGCCAUCUAGUAUGUACAAUUUACAGCAGUGAUUCCUAAAUAAAGAUUGUCACUAUUCGGUAAAUUUUAUUUUACUUUUUUUUUUUUUUAUCAAUACAAGGGAUAUCCCAAUUUAUGCUGCUGGACUAAUACCCUAUGACUGUGCACCCUUUCAAGAAGACACAACCAGUAAAAAGGGGCUCGAACACACGAUGAUUAGAUUCGUAACUGCUAACCUGCGGCCAACCCUGGUGGCUGUUCGGUGAAUUUCAUCUGACUACUUAGGUUCGUAAAUCAGUUUUGUUGUUGUGCUUCUUUUUGCCGUUGAAUAAUUAUAGCAUGUAUGAUUCCCUAGUACACGUUGCUCCGCUACGUUUUCAGAGGCACGAGAAAGCGAAGCCUCCCUUUGACAAAACUGAGCGUGUUUGUUUGGUUUGGGGUUAAAUGGUCCAACAAAUGAUCACAUGCCGAGUCUAACACUCGUUUUCCCUCAAUCCAAAAGCAAUGGGAAAAAAAGAAAAUUAAAAAGAAAAUAAAAAGAGAGAAUGAUAUAUUUUCAAUUUUCAUUUUCCUUUAAUUUUCUAGUUGCCUCUUCUACCAUUUUUUAUCCUCCUUUGUUCUUUUUUACUGUAAAGAAAAACUUUUCUUAUUUUUUUGGUGUCAAAACUAGCUUUGGGAACAAGUUUUUGUGAGGGUUUGCUAAAUUAUGCUAUAUUUGACAAUGAGACGUGACUUAAUUCAUAAGACGAUUUACCGGUGAUCAAUAGAUUGCGGGUUCGAAUUAUCAAAGGAAUAGGUGAAGAAUUAUUCCUGAUCCUUUUUAAUAAAAAAAAUUACUACUACAACAGAUCCUGUUUUCUUUUUCUUGUCGAGAACAGCUCAAGGGGCUGGUUCGAAUUUAUUCCUCUGUCAGCUUCAAGUUCAUUUUUUUCCAAAUUUUGUUGUUGAGGUGGUGGGGGUGGACUUUCAUCUCCAAGUCCAUUCAUAGUUCCCUUCUACCCUUUAUUCCAUUCUCAUUUAGUUAGAAUCAUGAAUAUACAUUUUUGCCUCAUUUUUGUUUAUUGUGUUGACAUUAGGUGAUUAUAAAAAACAUUUCGUAGCAGAUAAAAGUUUGUAUCAAAAACCAAUAUCAAAAUAGUACAAUAUGCCCUAAAACAUUUUCAUUAAAAUUUGUAUCCCGAAGACAAAAAGAAAUGUGUGGAAAAAGUCUUGCUGAUAUAUAAAAAUAUAUAUAUAUAUAUAAUUCUACAAAACUAUAAUCAUGUACUAAUAAUUAUUUCAAAGCUUAACAAUACUAUUUAUUUAAUCCCAAGGCUCCAUUAUAUGAGGCUGACUACAAUGGAAGGGUCACCAUCUCUGCCGUCUCAGCUCAGCUCUUAAUUAAAGUGCAGAGAGGUUUUCGCACUGUUUCUUAAACACCUUUUCUCUUUCCCCGCCAGUGGGCUUGCUGCAAUAUCACAGAAUUCACAGGCCCUAUUCCUUUUUCUUUUUCUUUUUCUUUUUUUUUUUAAUACUGUCCGAACAGAAAUUGCAGAUGCGCGUAUUUGCAGUCGAAUUUAUUAUCAAGUGUUAAUGCCAUUAGUAGCAAUUAAUCACUUUCAACUGUGAUAGUUCAAAGAAAGUUCCUUCUGAAGUGGACCCAAAGGGCCAAAUCUCAAAAUUAAAGUUUAAGCAUGACAUCUACCAAAUUUUAGCGAGGGCAAGGACUUAAAUCGCCGGCCACGAUUUUAUUUGAGAGAUUUUGUUGAGAAACGUACUGAUUAGAGCUUCUUCUCAGAGACGUACCCUCGCCUAGCUUUGUCUCUUAAUUACGCGUUUUAAUAGUAGAUGAUUGAAUCGGUAAUUCUCUGUUUCAAGAAUACUCUUUGAUAUUUUGUAUUCAGAUUAAUACACUAUUUUUUAGGCCAGAAUAUUCCCCACAACUAAAGAAAUGGAUCUGUCUAAUAGGUGUCCAUUACACACACCGGUUAAGAUGUAAUUCAGGUAUUAAAUUUUUCAAAAAAACUAGCAUUAAUUAGAAAAAGUGCGUAAAUACAAAUAAGUGUAAUAAUUGUUUAAGUAUGUAUGUACACGGUAGUUUAGAUGGAAUUCAAGUGUGCUAACGAUGCUCAUUUGGACACAUAUACAUUUUUGGUCUUUUCAUUUAAUGUUAUGACUAUUAUUUUUGUUAUUUAAAUGUUCUGUAUUUGUAUCAUUUUAUUCUUGAGGACCCGAUGACACUCAUUAAUCACAACUUACCAUUGUAAAGAGCAAAUGCAUAUUUAAUUAUUUUUUUUAAGUACACCUAAACAAAUCAUUUAUUUUCCCCACUCAAUUAGCCGCUAUGAAAACACAAACAGCAAGAAGCUAAUUUCUGUGCGGACAACAAUACUUAAAAAGUUAAGUGGCAGCUAUUAAAAAGAUCAAUCCCAGUACAAAUGCCCUUUCUAUCGUUUAUUAUUUGCAAAGUGCGAUUAGCAGUUAACAUUCUCACUACCUCAUUUAAAGAACUUUUCUAAUAUUUUCCAUAACAUAUUUUCAAAGUGCUUUUGACAAUUUUUGACAAAAAAAAUUGAUUUACUUCUGUAGAGUACAUUAACUCUAGAACAGAGGAAUGCACUCUUUCAUAAAAAAAAAAAAAAAAAGAAUUAUUGUUAAUUAUACCAAGCAUUUAGCACCUACUGUACCUUUUGACAAUAUGAAAAAAGGAUAAAUUUUACUUUAUACCCUUGAAUUUGUAUCACUUUUCUACUUUACACCUUAAAUUUAAAUUUUGAACACACACCCUAAACUCUUAAUUUUUGGUAUUUUGCACCAUAAACUCUCAAAUUUGUCCCAUUUAAUUCCAAUGAAUGACAACUCUAGAAAAAUUAACGGCAUAAAGGACACAAUAAAUCAAUGAUAAUGUGCUGAAAGUAGUCAAAGCUCAAAAGGUGUCAAGAUAACAUAACAAAAAUAAAACAAUACAUUGUUAUUAAUGUAUAUUAUCUUGUUAAUUUUGCUAAUAAUAUUAGUAAUCGAGACCUUAUAAAUCAAUGAUAUGUACUAAAAGUGGUCAACAAAAUUAAAGGAUCGCAUUAAUUUUUAUAGCUCUUUAUCUCAUUAAUUUUGUGACCGUAGUCAUUGAUUAGAAUUAAAUUUGACCAACUUGAGAGUUUAGGGUGUAAAGUAUCCACAAUUAAGAGUUUAUGAUACAAAAUAUCUAAAAUUGAAAUUUAUGAUGUAAAGUGAUACGAGUUCAAUCAUCCAAAAUGGAAAUCGUCCAUAGGAAAAUGAUAAGCAGAAUAUUACCACAUAAAGUAGUGUGCUAUAUAUAAUAAGCUUCUUCACAGUUGCUAAAUAUAGACCCACCGAGAGAAUUAGCAUGGCUAAUUAUAAUAAGCUUUUGACCAAUACACAAUUCAUAUGACAAUGCCCAAGUUCUUUUGUUCCGUCAUUUGUACCCAUCAACCAAUUUGAUUGCUAAUGCUCAGGGUGGCUGUAAUUUAACCCGGUGUUGAUGAUGACGGGUUUUUUUCCACGACUGCACUAGGAAUAGUUGAAUGAGAAAAAAUAACGUAAAGUCUGGGAUUAGUUGAAAUGGUCUUUGUUCAGCAAUUCAUCAUUGGAAUAAUCGCAAAGGUACUUUUCGCAAGUGCAUUUGGACCAACAUUUAUAUAUUUAUUGAAAAAGAUUUGGAACAAAAACCACCACGUCUGCUCGGAAUAAAUUAGUAAUUUACGUAGAAAAUUUCAUACUACUACUAAACUUUCUUGGCGGCGCCAGAGGCUUAAAAUUUCAGAAGUCCACACCUGGCAAAUUUAUGCUUCUUUUGAAUUUAGGAAACGAAAGAAGAGCCACGACAUCCCCUCAGUGGAAAAGGAAGGACAACACCAAACCGCCUUCCCGUUUAGUUGACUUUGUUAAAAUAUUUGCGUUGCAUUCCCCGCCCUCAAAACAAUAAUAAUGCUAGCCAUUACAAAAGGAGGAGAGCCAAGAAUACAGAUGAUGCCAUGAGAAUCGAGGUAUCUUCUCAAUUGUUUCAUUUCAUCCCAAUCCAAGAAUGAAUUCCGCUUCAUUCUGCUUGCAAAAGCAAAUGCUAUUCUCCUUUUUUUUUUUUUUUUUCGAGACGAUAACUGUUCUAUAAUCUAAUCUAUCCUACAUUAGGGGGAGGGGGCGGACCUAAGGAGAUCCAAAAAUAACCCAGAAGAGGCUGAAGCAUCACCGGACCAAAUGCUAUUCUCUCAAGUAGGGAAAAGUAUAACGAAAACUCGACUCAAAGUGAAAAAAAUUUAAAGGAGGUGUCAGAGCACGUUUUUGAUCUAGUCGGAUCUGUAUGCUGUCAUUUAUACAGUUUCUUUAGACCAUCUUUUCGUAAAAUAUGAUAGAUUAAAUUAUAAGAAUGUAUGGUCGUGGCAAUAAAAAAUAUUACUUAAAUUAUACCUGUUUAUAUCAGACAUUGUGAGACCCAAGUCAAUAGAUAAAAUUCAAAUUGUCAGCCCCGUCCUUCAUAUACCGCGGUUUCACGUUAUCAAUCAAUGCAGAAUUAUAAUUGAUAAAGCUGGCAAGCAAUACUACGACCGCAUACUGAAUUACCGUUGUUCUCGAUGAAGUUUGCCUUAACAACUAAGGAAAUAGACGAAGAAAUGUCGAGAGUCGAUGGAGGCACCAUCAAAUUUCGCUGUUGGAUAGCAAUAUUGUCAUGGGUCCUUGGCAAUUGAAACUGACUGAAGAAAAUACUCAACUAACAAAAGUAACUCGGAAAAAGAAAUGAAAGAUGAAUAGCAUCUUGAUGUUAUUUCUCGGACAUUAAGGGUCCGUCUGUUUCGGAUGAAAAUGUUUUCCAGGAAAAUAUUUUCCUAAUUUCCCGUGUUUGGUUGCACAAAAGUUACUGAAAACAUUUUCCUAUGUAAAAUAUUUUCACCCAUUUUAUGGAAAACAACUUCCUUUCUAAACUUACUGAAGUUGUUUUCCGAAAUGCAUGCAUCCCGCCUGUAGUAUGUUCCAAACUUACUGAAAACAUCUUGUAGUAUGUUCUUUUUUUUUUUUUUAGUGUAAACAGGAGGAUUCGAACCCAAGACUUCUUCCUUACACUCCCUCCUCCAUACCACCCAACCCUCCCCCUAGUAUAUUCAAAAUAAAAAAAAAAACUUCAUCCUGCUCAUCCUAUGCUAGUAAUUAUGUAUAAUAGGGACAUUCUUUUCUAGAGAAACUUUCAGCAGUGAGAGUGCAAGAUAUAUGUCACAAUAAGCAUUGCAUGUGAUUGAUAUUUGACACUAAAUAGCCAGCAAUUUGUUUAUUGCUUAAGGAGAUAUUUUUUAUUCAUAUAUACAUUUCUCCAAGAUUUUUUAAAGUUAAACAAUGAGAUAAAUUUUCUUAUUUUGCAUGGGAAGAAGUAUGUAGUUAUAAUGUGUAGAAAGUAAGGAUAGAGAUAAAAGUGAAAAUAUUUCAAAAGUUAAACAAACACCAGAAAAAUGAAGUAAGAAAAUAUUUUCAAUAAGCUAACCAAACACCUGAAAAUGAUGAAAGGGAAAUGAUUUUCAUGGAAAAUUACUUCCACGGAAAGUAUUUUCCCAAGGAAAAUAUUUUACUUCCAACCAAACAGACCCUAAGUGUAAUUCAUAGUUUCCUGAGACGAGAGGCAUCGACAAAUCUCAUUAUUCCAUAGCGGAUGGAAUUCCAUUAUUUAAAAGGUUGAUGCAAAGAAGCAUUUUGUAGGUUUACAUAUGAAACUUCUAAAAAGAAUGAUUAAAACUAGAAGGUGGUAAACAAAAAAUUACCAACUAACUCGUAAAAAAUCUUGGUCGUGCCGUUUUACUUUGCUUUGUUCUUACUUCCCUUUUUUAGGCAUGAAAUUAAUUAUAUAGUACCUUAAAAUUUUGAAAGACGAGCCAAAACCAACCACCAUAGAGCCAACCCCCCAACCUCCAACCCACCACCAUCCCCAAAAAGGAAAAAUAAAAUGUUGUCGGACUCUUUCUUCUGGAGGUUACUCUUCCAACAUUAUUAUUCUCUUCAUCCAUAAGAUUCAAAAUCGAAAUCUUGAUUAAGGGGUAUCAAGCUCUUUAUUACUUGACCUAACAACUGUUAGUAAAUGUAAGUUUGCUCCAAUAUUACGAGAUCUUGAUCAGUAGAAACAAAUCCUGAACUCCUCUACUCAGCAAGAAACCAGUAGAGUCUGGAAAAUUUCCAUACUACUCGACUAACUAGUAAUUACGUACUUCUAGAUUUGGCCAAUAAACGAACUCCCCAGCCUGCUAGAUAUAUCUAAACCGGAGAGAAAUGUUUAACGAACAUGCUUUUUCUUCUACUACAAUUAAGCAGCGUAACUCCCUUCGCUACAAGCAAUAAAUCUAGCUACUUGAUUGGGCCGGAUUGCCAAUUGGCUUUCCUUUUCUUCUCCUCAGUUCCUUAUCCUUUUGGCAACCGAUCGAAUGUAUCAGCACUAGCUGGCAACAUUAUUCAUGCUCCUGUUUCAUUCGCUUCUAACUUGUGUCCCUGUAGACUGAAGUGCGAGUCAGGAUUUUCCCCAAGUAUUAAUGCCCUUGUUUUACAUGACUGGAUUAUCUUAUUUGCUACGCGAUUUCUACUUUUUGUUGACGCACUGGAUAAUGGCAGACUUAGUGUAUAAGCUUAUUGUGUCCUGUGGGUUGACAUCAAACCACACAUGGAUCGAUCUAACGUAUGAGUACCACAAAUGACUAAAAAAACUUUGGCGAUCGAGUUAGGCCGGCCACGCAAGAUACAAAAGAUUUCCCAUGAAUGAUGAUUUGCAAAACUGGGGACCAACAAGCUUAAGAAAUUGAAUAUUGUUGGCGAUCAUUACUUGUUUGGAUUACAUAUCACUUAAUUUAGUAGUCUAGUUGCAAAAGCAAGUCUUUUGUUUGUUAAUCAAGUGUCUCGACCACCUCAAAACUACACAAGCUGGAUGCCAAAUUCUUACGAGGAUCAUGUCUAAAGAAGACGUAUGCAUCAUGAGGUGAGCUGAUGUUAGAAUCUCUCAACUCGAUCUUAUAAAUACCUUUAGUUGAUCAAGUUAGCUCUAGCUAGUAGUGCCCAUGAUGAUUUAUGUUACCUAAUAUAUGACUUAACCAAAUUUGAUUGCUUAAAUGGCUUUCCUUUGCUUAUUAUACUACCUAAUCUCAACGCUCACACAGUAUUUAAAUGGAGUAGCGUGCAUGUGUUCUGCCUCAAAAGCGAAACCCGGAAUCCGUUUUCCUCUUAUUUUUUUCAAGAAAUUAUAGAAAAUCAUGUUACCAAUAAUUGAAAAGAAAACCACAUCAAAUCAACCCGUCUUAUUACCUCUAGAAACCGCAUAAAGCAUAAUAAUUUCCACAUUCCCGUGAAAAAACUUCUGUUCUUAGUCAAAUAAUUGGAAAUGCACUUAAGAAGAGACGAGAAAGGGGGAGAAAAUGUGAGCGAGAAUAAUUCAAGUCAAGGAUAUUUCUUUAUUAAUUUCACAACUCGUCAUUGUUACAUGUUGUAUAAUAAUUUACUGGGCUUUGGCUGUACAUCGAUGUUCAAGUACCACCUACUCAAGAAGGGCUAGGGAGAUUUUUUUUUUUUUUUUUUGUCAAAACGAUAACAAGCAAGAAGGACUAGGGAGAUGGUUUAUCAAGAUCAUUCAAUCCUUGGGUACAAAUUUGGAACGGGAACCCGUCAGCAUCAUGGAUUCUUGUAUGAGGUGAUGUUUUUGCUCCCAAAUAUAGACGCGACAGUACUGUUAAAUUCCCACGGAGUUAAAAUGUUAAAUCAAGAGAAUUAUUCAGGAGACCAUCCUACCAACAACAUAUAUUUUAAGUACAUAAUCUGUUCAAAAAGGACAAAAUAAAUAAUGGAAUAGGUGUAAUAUGGCCCAGGAUAUCAUUGGUGCAUAUCUUAAUAUAAUAUGAUGCAAAUUCUUCAUUAUUUCCUCGUUCAAGACUUCCACACAAUAUCUUUGCCAUGUUAAUCCACGACAACCCAUUGUGUACAACAAUGAUAAAAGCUAAUGUCUAAUAAUUCUAUCACGUUCGUGAAGUAUCCAAGAAGUGUGUUUGGGUGAUGCUUUCUGCAUACACCAUUUGCAAGAUUGUAGUAGUAUUAAUUAUUAUUAUUAGUUUUUGGGUUCUUGAAUGUCUAGAGGGCCAUCCAUCGAACUGGUAAUAUUUUUUUCUGCUAAGAGUUUUAUAAGGAACCUGGAAAAGAAAAGGUAAACCAACUAAAUAAAACAGCCCGUUGUUUAAUCACUUUUUAGGCUAGAUUUCAAAUCAAGUUUUUUAGUUGAAUAAACCCAAGGCUGGUAGAGAGACAAAUCUAGAAGUAAAUCCGUGGCAAGUAGUUUCCAGAUCAGUAGAUAUUACCUCAAGAGCAGGCAAAGUUUGAUGCAUUAAGUCCACGGAUUAUGUCACAUUAUGGAUUGGCAGACGAUGUCUAGAAAUCUCUAUAAUGGCAGUAUUUAUGGACAUGAAAAUUCUUCCUCUAAAGACAUUGCAUUGGAGUAUAAUAUGUCAUAUGACUCUUAGUUAUCGUAUGCAGUUAAUUAACUUAACCACCAUUAGUAAUCCAGUCCGGUUCAUGAAGUCAGGCACCAAAACUCCACAAGCAUUUAUGAGAAUAUAUAUAUAUAUUUCAAAAAGUAAAAAAGUGACUAAACAGAUGUUCCUAAUUAAAACCAAAUGGUCCUAAAACAAUUCCCUAUAUUGAUUUCUCACCACUCAGGAGUACGUACUAACCAAUAUUGAUUUCUGAUAGAAUGGUAAUUGUUUGUGGUUAGGAUUAUCAAAAAUCUCUAUUUGGUAGCUGCAGCUUGGAAAUCACGACGGGGCUUUUAGCUUUAGGAAGACAAAGAACUGUGUUUGUACUUUAGUCGUGACUCAUGAGGCACCAACAAAGUCAAAAAUCAAGUAUUAGUUGUACUACCUUUUCUUGUGUCGAAAUACAUUUUACUCAAUUCUUUCCCUGAGAUUGACAUGGGUGAUUCUGCAAUAUGUUCUUCAGCAACCCCAUGAAGUCGUGGGCUUCAAUGGCUCAGGACGGUCCAUACAAAAAUUGCAUUGCGGUAAAUAUCCGUCCAUGUACGAGCUUCGGAAAAAUGGUUUCUUAUAAGAUCUCUUGAUAUAUGGUCGAAAUCUUGAUGAUAUUAAAAGGUUUUCUUGAGCAAUGAUAACGUAACAGUCCAAACGCUGUUAUUGAUGAUGAUAUCUCAAAAACUAGCUUCAACAACCAAACGCAGGAAGCCAGGAGAGGGAUCAGAUUUCUGAACCACAAUAUAGUUAAGGAUCCGGGGAAAGCAAUGGUGGAAACCCUGUUUUACUAACUAACGUAUUUGGUCUCCAACUCUGAGAAUAUCUUGUGUUUGCACAUGUUCAUGCAGUUAAAUUCUCUACUAAGUAAAAGAUUUUCUAAGCAAUCAGCUGAUUAAGUAAAAGAUUUUCCAAGCAAUCAGGUGAAAUAACUAAUCCAGUAAGCAUUCAUGUCAAAUCCCACACAAACCUAACAUCAUUACACGUGAUUCAUUUGACAAAUUGAUCCACAUUUGAGGAGGUUAUACUGUGACCAAUUGCUAAGUCAAUAAUGAAUUUAUGAAUCUGAUGGACCAGUAAAAUUAUUGUUUUCUUGAAAAUUAAGAACACACACACACUGGUAAUAGACAGGCAUUAAAGCAAUCCUUGAAUGAAUUAUCUGCUCAUUUAGUUGCAAAAGCAAGUGGAGCUAAACAUGUGAAAGAAAAAUAUCCAGAAUAAUUCAAGAAUGGUAGACUUUAGAUAUGAAAAAUGUAAGGUGACCAUGUACUAAAAUAAUCUGCAGCAGAAGAAGAGCAUGCACCAUGAGGGUAUUUGAUAUUAGAAAUUCAACUUGAUCGAUCUUAGUUCCCCUUUUCUUCCGAAAUUGACUCCACUACGCAUGAAUGGUCUCUGUCUCCUAAUAUAUUAGCUCAACCCAAAUUUGAUUGCUUAAACCACCUAAUCUCAACCUCCACACUUUAUUUUAAUGAUGGAAAUGUUAUUAAUAUUAAUAAUCCAAAACAAGAUCAAUUCAACCGGUCUCAUCAUUCUACUUAUCUCCAGAAACCGAAUAGACGACCAUCUUUCCCCCCCCCCUUUUUUUUUAAAUAGGGAUGCCAUCCCUUAAUUUAUUUAUAAUCGAAAAGAGUACAUCGAAUUAGAGGAGGGCCAAACCUGACCUCUGUUAAGUAAAAAGAGACAACUAAGGAUGAACAAUAAUACGCACAUAUGGAAAAAUCUGCGUACCUAAACACAUAACAGAUGAAGCGAACGAAAUCAUCCACAUGAGGGUGCCCCACAUUUGUGGGAUUGUGAGUGAGCAUGGGAAUUUGGUUUAACAUCUUGACAUACGUGAGCAUGCCAUCUUUCCUAUUUGACAUUUCUCUCGCCUGAUAAAAAUGAAAUAACUUCUGUUCAAAGACAAAUUAACGUUAUGCAGUAUGUAGAAGAGAUGAGAAAAUGGGAUCAAAACUGAAUCUCCCAAAUUGAAGACAAGAAUAUUUCUUUCUUACCCAAGUUGUCUAAUUAUCUUUGUUAUGUUUUGUCGCACAAUAUAGUCAAGAUAGAUCAAGAAUUCGCCAUUAUGGACAUGUUCAACAGUUCAAGUGCUCGUCAAGAAGGCAUGGAGUUACAAAAUUUAAGCCAAAAUCGUCACUAUGAUACGGAAUCUUCUAUGAGGUGAUGAAUUUGUUGCAUUGGGUUGAGAUGUUAAAUCACGAGAAUUAUUAGGACACUCUACCAUUCUUUUAGACAACAUUAAAUGUUGUAACUAGUCAGUUCAAGAAAGGCCAGAAAAGGAAAACUAAAAUCAGAUUUGUUCAAAAAAUUAACCUUAAUACUGUGUCAAUAUACAUAGACUCUAUUCCACAAAAUGCAUAUUGUAUUAAUGAUCAUUAGCAAUAACCUAUGUUAUCCGGAGUCAGGCACUAAAGUCCCGCCAGCCAACAUAGCCACUCUAAUGCAAAAACAUGGGUAUGGCAAGGCAAGGUGAAGAGUCCGAGUAACAUAUAUAGGCAAUGACAAAGAUUAAUGUUUCACACUUCCAAUUUCGUGAAGCGUCCUAACCUUCCAUUAUCAACCGACCGGGAAGUGUACUGUGAUGAUGAUUUUAUUUUUUCUGAUCACUUGAUUUGCAAAAUUUCCAUCAAGUUGUCUUUUCCUUUUGAAAAUUUAGAGGGGAGGAAAUCUUCUUAUUUGCUAUGCCAAGAGUUUUACAAGGAACCAUGACAAGAAAAAGUAAAUAAAUUAAACAAAAAGCAUCAACUCCUUUUAAUUACUUUUAGGUGACAUUUCAACUCACGUUUAUGGUUGAAGAUACGCAAAUUAAGUUGGUGGAUAUACAAAUCUGGAAACCAUGCCAUGCACACGUCCCCACCGAAAGAAAGUAAACCAUAUAUCUCCAGAUUAGUACAUUACCUCAACAACAUGCAAACUACUAAUUUCUUGAAAAGCGAAAGAGGCCUAUCCCAAAAAAGGGAAAGAAACAAGAGGGCCCUCCCUUGUUUUUUUUGAAGAAAAUACUACCCUCAGCAAUAUGUUCGAAAAGGAUCAAGAAAAUAAAAUAUAGAAACUAAAAGUUAAUGUGAUUCUAGCACAUAAUGCAAUGCUGGUGGCAAACUUUAUUUGAAGAGACACAUACGUGAGUAAAAAUAUCAAAAAAAUGAGAAAAAAAAAACUUCAUUGAAACAGGUAAUCCGGCCCAGCAUGUCUGAAUUUAAUAUGGUGAAAAUUCUUCCAUUCAAUGCCCAAGAUUUCCACAGAAUUUUGUUGAUGACAAUUAGCUGUAUACCGUUUAUAUACUAGAUCAGUGCCUCGUACGUAUUUCUAUCAAGUUCGUGAAGUAUUCGAGCUUUCCCUCUCUGUAGUUACUUUUAGCUCAAGUUGAUGACUUUAUGGUUGAAGAAACGCGAAACUGGUAGAAGACACAAGUUUAUCUAGGUAGCUUCACAAACAUGUGGCCAAGAAACUGAUCGGUGCAGGCCAAUUGAUAGGCUACCUCAAAACCAUGUGCAAACUUUUGAUGCAUCAAGUCCACGAAGAAUUAUCUUGACAGGAAUUGCCCCGUACUAACAGACACUAUCCAGAAAUCUCGAUUUGGCCGAAUUUGUAACCACACACAGAAGCUUAUCUUUCUUCCAGAGUUAUUCUUGGAUGUGCAACAUGACUGAUUCUUUGUGUAGUCACGUAUCAAGACUCCAGAAGCAGCCAUCCAAUAACACUGCAUUCACUCAUGAACAUUUUCUUGCUUAGCCUCUUUUUAUCUAACCAAUAUUUAUACAGAUGUAUAAUAUUUACGAGUUCAAAAUUUUAAGGCCUUGGAUUCAAACCCUUUUUCCCUUCCCUUCUCGACACCCUCUUCUACUAUAAUUUUUUGUUUGAAAAAAUAGAUGUAUAAUAAUAGAGUGUUUGUGAGAGUACCCAAGCUUCAAUUUAGAGAUCGAAAAAAAAUUUCCCUUAGUUAGGCUUUACGUUUUGAAUCAGUAAAUCAGUGCUCAACUCUAUGAUCAUUGAUGAGUUGUAGCAAAUUUGAAACUACUAUGCUCAAUUAUUUAUAUAGAGUUGUAGUAACAAGGAUUAAAAGAGGAAUCAAAGUAGAUAAUUAAAGUUUGAAAAGUUGUUUUGCCCGAGACUUAGCUUGGCAGGUGGGAACAUUAGUAAGUGAUCCUAAGAUAUUUUAUUCAAUUCUCAAUCCUCUUUUCCCUUCACCUUGUAAGGCUCCCCUUGUAAAGCUUGCUCUCCACUUUUCCCCUUCCUCUUUGUCCCCUUAGCAGCAAUGUAGCUAGCACCACAAUUUGACAAAGCAUCUUCUGAUCUCUCUUGUUUAUACAACUUGACCCGUUAUCCUUUUCCAAACAAGACCUGUGGUAUAAAGAAAACACAUGAAUUGGAGUCCAUGGUGGAGUUUGGAUUGCAUUUUUAUGAAGCGUUUUUAAAAGAACAAAAUUUUAAAAAAAGGAGGAAUAUUUUCUGAAACAAAGUAGAUAACAGCAUCUUUGGUAUAGCCUUUUUUGAUACCUCUUGUUUCUACAACUUGACCCCUUAAGAAGAGCUUUUAAAACGAAAAAAAAUAAAGAAUAAAAAAUAUUUUCUGAAAAAAAAAAGUAGAUGCCAGCAAAUUUGGAAACUUUUCCGAAGUUUAUUAAAAGUAAGUGCACGUCGGCCAGAGCCCGGAUUGGGUAUUAUCAUAUUAUCGCGUCCAAAUGCAUAUAGCCAAUCUUGAAGUAUAAGUUGAAAUUAUUCUAGCACACAAACGAAUCACAAGAUGUACAUCAAUAAAACCUUGAAAACGUACGGAUGAAUGUUCUAAUAUAAUAUUUUGAGGGACGCAUAGACGUCUAUACUUAACUAUUUAUUAAUUUCAUAACACCUCUCAUUGGAUCGAUGUCUAUUAGACAAAGAAAUUGCACUAUUAAAAUCUUAGUAUGAAAAAACUCAGCUGGAUUCAAAAAAAAGAAAAAAGAAAAAAAACUCUAGUGGAUGAAAAAAUAACACAUAUUCUUUAUGUGUCAAUAUUGCAACUAUGGUUUGAAAUCUUUAAACCGAAACAUUCUAAUUUUUUUCACCAAUUUUUCAAAUAUCGCAGUUAUCAAUGCCUUGAUAAAUAAAUAUGUCAAAUUUGAGUCUCAAAUUUGUUUCUCAUCAUUAGAUUUUUGGAGGUGCUCAAACUGUGAUGUGUGCUUUAAUGAAAUUAGGAAUUUGGGACCAAAACAACUUGAUGGUGGAGAAUUAUUGUUUUGUGGCAAAGACAUACUGGAGUUGUAUUGUGUGUGAUAUGUCCAAUUUGAAGGUUGUCAGUGUGUGAUCAGUUGACAGUGAAUUGAGACUCGCAGCCACCGGAAAUUCACAUAGGCGGUACAAAACAAAAUGAUCUUCAUAACUCAGAUAAUGAUCUUUCUAGCCAGAUCAUCAGAAUAUUAGAAUUUGAACUCUCAACGCCCACCACACUGUUUUGACAGCAGUAGCAUGCAUGCAUUGUACUGUUCUGAUAACAGCGGUAGGAGCAUGCAUGCAUGCAAUCUGGCUCCGCCGGAAAAGCGAAAGAGGCCUAUCCCGAUUCCCGAAGGAAGGGCAGAAAGAAAGAAAGAAAAGCUGUUUUAAGAAAAUAUUACUAGUAUAAUUAGCAAUAAUCGAAAAAUGGCAUUAGUAAAAUAUGUUCGAAAAAGAUCAAGAAAAUAAGACAUAGUAUUCCAAGAUGCAAUGCUGGUGGGCAACUUUGCUUGAAGAGGUGCUCGCGCAAAUUAAAAAGAAGAAGAAGAGGACGAAGACUUUAUUUAAAGAGGUAAUAGCGUACGGCCCAUUCAAUAUCUGGAUUUAAUAUGGUGAAAAUUCUUCCAUUCAAUGCUCAAGAUUUCCACAGAAUGUUAUUGAUGACAACUAAUUGUAUACCUCGUGUUUGUAACUUUGUAUCAAGUUCGUGAAGUAUUCCAAAUAUCCCCCCUCAACAGUUACUUUUAGCUGGAGUUCAUGGAUGACAAAAAAAAAAAAAAAAAAAAAAAAGCAAAGCUGGUAAACGACACAAUUUUAGCUAGCUUCUCAAACAUGUGGCCAAGAAAAGAACUAAUCGGGUGUUGUUCAAUUAGUACGUAGAUUACCUCAAAACCAUGCAAACUUUUGAUUCAUUAAGUCCACGGAUUUGUCCCGUAUUAGCAGACACUAUCCAGAAAUCUCGAUUUUUCCGAAUUUCUCAUCAUAACAAAAUUUUUCUGUCAUCCAGAGAUAAUUUUUCUUAGUAACUAAAGUUAGAUUAUGCGACUGAAACUACUGUUGGAGAGAAACGCUCGCUCGAGCAGUAUUAACUUUGGAGACAUUUUCCUUAUAAUUGUUCUAAUGUUUUUCCAUAUCGAUCGGUUGUUGCAGCAGCAAGUUGAAGCUUGGAAACUAAAACGGGGCCACUAGCUAGAUGACUCCAGAAAACAAGCUAAUAUAUAUAAUGGUUAGCCAUGAAUCUUGUGACACCAUAAAGUCAAAAACCAUGGACUGGUAUUACUGGUUUUUCUUUUCUGGAAACCAUAUCUUUCGCUGGAGAAUAAGCUGUCCUUCAACAGCAAGCUCCCCCGGGGGUUGGUGUGGCUGGUUUUAUCAUAUAUACGGUUUGUUUAUUGUGCAUUCAGCUCUAAUUUGAAGUCAUGGACUUGAAGUUGAUGAAGAAGCAGGAAAUGGGUAAACGUUGUUAUUGCAAUACAGCAUCCAUCCAUUGAUGAAUAUUUGAGCAAUAAGAGAAAGCGCACUUUUUAUUUUGCCAAAAUAAAUAAAGAAAAUAUUCAAUUAAAACUGCAAAUACCGUACUGAAUAUAUAUGUUGAAAAAACCGAAGCAAAUAAAAUUUUCACUUCUUUAGCACGUGAUUUAUUUUCACAUAAGUCAAAUGAGUUGGCACACCUUAAUUGAAUAUUAGCAACGGAAAGGAUUUAUUUUGCAUUUCCUUACAAAGAAGGUUCUGAAUUAGAGAUGGCAAAUGGGCGAGAUGGGUGGGACUACAAAAUAUAGGCUAUACCAUAUUAGUCAUGUGACCAAUAUGGAUGCGACAAAACGAGCUAAACCCAUUUUAAUACCCGCUCAAAUAUCCAAUAAAUUCUAUUUUAUUUUUUCAACUCUUUUUUUCCUAAUCAAAUGUCUCAAUAUUACCUUUUGUUUUUUUCUAAUAUCAUUUAGCUAGUUUGUUUAACUCUGUGAAACUGUCCACCAUCAAAAUCAUGCGUUCUCCUAAAAUGUUUAAUGAUUCAGUUUUGUACCUGUUCAAAUUUCUACUUCCCAUGACUAAACACUGCCCAUGUUUCCUCCAACAGAUGAUCUUAUAUACAUAUUUGUACAGUCCAUGUCAGAAUGAAGGUGAUCAGCUUUGAUUCUUUGCAUCGUGGAAAAACCGUGAAACAAAAUCUAUGCUAUAUUUUUCUUUCUAAAUUAAGUUUUCAAGGACUAAAUUUCAUGAGAUUUGAAAGUAAACUUACUUUCUGAAGUUCAAUUUGGAUAUAGCAAACUUUGCUAAUCAAAUGUUUUAAUAUUUAUUGUUGGGUGGUUUUUGAUUUUUAGAAAAAUCAAUAAUGUUCUUAAACUUUGGGGGAAAGAAAGAUCCAUGAUGGAAGUUGUAAAUAAGUCCUAGUUAAACCCAUAUUUCAAAUGGAUAUUAUUAGGUAUAUUUCUAGUUUAACCAAGUCCCAUAUUUUAUACACCUGUCCCACCCAAAUUAAAUUUGGGUAGGGGAGUCCAUUGGGUCUUGGGACUUUUUCCCACCUAUAUUCCAAACCAAUCUUUUUUUUUUCUUUUGACUGAAACUCUACACGGAAAAAAGAAAAAAAAAUGGAAAAAAAAAGGGGUCGGGUGGGUCGGUAUGAGAUAAGUUAAGAAGGUAUACAUCAUGCACAUUCAUGUAGUUUUCAGAUAGUUAGAAAGUCCCUCGACAAUCCCCCCCCAAAACCUACAUCCAAAACCUACUUUCUCGCACUCCAUUGACCCUUUUUUUUUUUGAUCAUUCUCUUUCAAUUCGACCUACUACGGAGAUUUGAUUGUGACGAAUAAACAAAUUGCACCUACAUAUGCAAGCGGUAGCUUGGUUAGGGCCAGAAAAAUCUUUUGCUUGAUCUAAUUCUCUACGUACUGCCAGAGUUUUGUAGACCGAACUUCAAUGAGAGAUCAAAAAGAAUUUCCAGCUCUAUGACGAGUGAUGAGUUGCAGCAAAUUUGCAAAAUAGUACCAUGUUCAAUUAUUUAGGGAGAGGACGUUUGGGAACUUUCCCAAAGAAUUUUUGUCAUAGAAGUGCACGUCAGAGACAGAGCCUAAGUUUUUUUUUUUUUUUUUUGUAAUAAAAGGGACUAUAUAUUGAAUAAACUUAAGUAAUAGGUACAAAACGAGAGAAACAAAUUCCCUUAAGAUCUUAAAUUUCUCAAAGCAUAAGAAAUACUAUCAUAACAUACAAAAUUCACGUCUUGUUAAGUACCCAGUUUCGUCAAUUUGUUAGCACACUGAUUUGCUUCUCGAUAAGCAUGUCUCAGUUAGGUGUUAGUAGAGGGUGAAAACCGCGCUGGCAGACGAGGAUAAGAAUAUUACUAACAAAUUACAGCUCACAAAAUAGGCCCCUACAACAUUGAAACUUCAGGAAUACCAUAAAUUUGCAUUUCUUGCUUACAAAAUGUUCAUAAUUUAGUCUAAAAUCUUGGAGUUCUGUGUGAGCAUUUUCCAAGUGGCGCACAAAAAAGAAAAGAAUUUUCUCCAGUCCAUAUAUACAUAGAACGACAUUCUAAAUAGCGCAAUAGGUACCUUUGAAAGCCACAAAACCUGUUCACCACAUUUCUGGCUACCAAUUUUCAGACCAAGAUAUUCACAGUAACGUUUUUGGGCAAAAAGGGAAUAAAUAAACUGCUAUAUGAAAGAAUACGUGCCGCAAGUGCCAAGAAUCAUGCGACGGCAGAAAAUACACUAUAGGAAUCGUAUCAUCAUCAACUAUAUAUUUGCGGUUUUCUACCUAUUAGCUUCUGUCAUUGUUCCUCAGCUGACACCUAGAACUCGGAAUGAUUAGAAGCAGUGAAAAUUCCCAUCAUCUUAUUCUUUCUGACCAUAACAGAGAUAAAUACCAAAAUAAAGGCCAACAGCUCGUACAAAAACAAAUUAUACAUGAAAAAGCCAUGGCUUUAUGGGUAUGACUUGGCUACGAAAGCACACAUAAUUUGAUGGCUCAACAAAGCUCUCGUCAAACUCCUAGCCGAGGGUGUUACAUUCCAUACAACAAAGUUUGUGUACCUGCCAAACAGCAGUUGUCAAUUAGAGCAAACGAGGACGGGUUUACAACCCAUGCGUUCAAAUUUUCAUCAGAAAACUGAAAAAACAAGCACCUGACGUUCAUGAAUUUACAACAAUAUCCAACAUCUUCUUUCAUAGCCAUGAUUCUUAGUUGAUCACUCGAAAUUAGACUCGACAACCAUAGAAGAACCAGGCAAGAGAUCAGAACCACUAUAUGAUGCUUCUUCAGGGAAAGUUUCUCUGCCUUAUUUAAAAGGCAUUAGAAAGGUUUGAUGCUCAACAUCAGAAAAACUAGCUCCAUCGGUUUCCUAAAUUUUGAAUUUGCCCAUUAAUGUUUCAAUUCAACGUCUCCAUUUGUAGUUUGUACUAUGUAAAGAGGAGGGCAAUAGACGUAACAAAGUGAAAUGAAUUAAAUAAGAAGAAUGCAUAGAAUGACAGCUUAAACAUGCAAGUGAUUUGAACUACGACCAUGAACUGACAGUACCAAAGACUUUGUAUGCCAAAUGAAACUUGAAAGAAGAAUAUGAGCGGACAAUUUUGAAACUAUGAUAAACCAUCUGCCAGGUAUGUCUAUCCAGUUGCAACUAGGAGACUGAUGAGCAUGGGCAAUAUAUACAGCAAAUAGAAGGAUCAAGCAAACAAGAUGUUCCCCGAAGAAACUGCAAAAAGAACGCCUCCAUAAAGAACUAUUCUAUAUAUAUAUAGAGGCCUAAGAGCUUCAACAGAAAUUGCUUUACUAGAACGCAGAAAUCUGUAUUUAGAAUUAAAUGCAUUGAACUAUGUGAAAAGAGUCAAAUGCAUAUAUCAAUAACCAUUAACCAUUUUUUCUAAAUAAGUGUACGUGGGAGGGCUGAACCUGGGACCUCUCACUUACCAAUAGCUUUAAUGAAGUACAAGACUGCGGUUAUGAGAAAAAAUAACUAAGAACAUAUGCACAUGAUUUAGCUGGAGUAAAAUGACAUUCAGCAGACAAAACAUCAAAUACUAAUAUUGUCAUCCAAGUUAGGAAGUAUACCUCUUGCCUGGUAAAUUACACCUUGUACUCAUGGACCCGCAUCCACUUUGUUGAUGACCACUUAUUCCCUCUAAUAACAGGGCAACCGCCUACAGAAGCACAAUAGAAGAACGAUGUUAAGAAUGGCAAUCAUUCAAUGUAGUACAAGGAGAAGGAGAAAAAGAAAAAAGACGAGCACUUGAAAACCAGUUGAGUUCUACUGCAGUGAGAACUACAGUUUCAAUACAUACUGGAAUAACCUCCGAAACUGAUCUGUCCCAUGAUUAGAUAUCAAAUGUACUUGGUACACAAGGGACCCAAAAAAAAAAAAAGAUGAAAAAAAAAGACCACCAUAACUUGAAGGAUCAAAAAAAGUUACCGUGCAAACUUGAAGGAUCAAGAGUGGCAUCAGGCUUCAUGCUCCAAAACAGCAAAGCAUCACCCCUCUUUGGUUUAACAGAAAGCCCUCCUUUUCCACAUUCAGACAGCUCAUUCCACCAAGGUACAGCACUAAUAUUUCCUUUGGCUGCAGGAAAAACUGUUUCUCCGCCCUCUUCAAUAUCUGACCUGCUCAUAAUUAUGUGAGGAGAGGAAACUAGACUAUUAGACUAAGAUACACAAACAUACACUACAUACAAAACCACAAGAAGAAAGAUAACUUACAAAUACAUAAGAACUGUAGCUAUGCGUUGGCCCCCAUUCCUGGUGUUGAACUCAUCAAGAAAGUAAUCAUAAUGAGGCUCAUACUUUUGACCCACCUCAUAGUGCAGAAUUUGAAGUCCCUCCCCAUGCUCUGUACAUUCCAGGAUUGACUCAUAAAUAUUUUAAGGUGGGAUAGAUAUAUGAAAGGUCAUCCAAACUAAUCGUAAAAAGGAGGAAAAGUUCAAUACUGUCAACAAAAAUCAGCUUGAAAGUAGUGAAUUAGCAUGAAACCAGAAUCAAACAAAUGCUCUCCCUUAUCAUGAAAUAAGUUCCUGGAAAACUUUAUUAUUAGCUUAGAAAAUGAGAAAUUUGGCACCAAUAGACACUGAAGGAGUCAAGGAAAUAAAGCAUAUAAGAUAGAGAUUCAAACACUGUAAGAGCAAUAGCUAUUCAAUGGCAGCAAAGAGAUGGUGAGGCAGAAAAGGUAGUGCCACAAACAACAAACACAGUAACGAGGAGAGUUCAUAAUGCUGAGAAACAAGAGCCAUGAGGCAAAAUCGUAAGGAAGCUCAACAUCACCAAGACUAAAUGCCAAGAAAAAUACCAGCAGUCAUCAAAAUUUCCUAGACAACGUAACAACCACUAAAUGCCACAAAAGAUGGGCCCAAAAACCAGACAGGUCAGAGUAAAAAAAUUACAUGGUUGACAUCCUUAGUCUUCCUGCCAAAAGAUUAUAGUGAAAAAGUCCUGAAGGAAAACACUUGGUAACACUACUAAUGAUUAUUCCCUAUCUGUUGCUAAAACACAUGCAUUCUUAUAGGCAAAAGACAUAAUAACGUAUCUUCAAACAUACCUACGGGUAUGAAGGCAAAAUCUGCAAUUCUUUUCUCAAUUUCCCUGACCGUUUUAUCACGUCCUCUAGCAAGAAAUGUUCCGGAGCUUGUACGAACUCUGCAUGCAAAAGAAAUCACAGAAGAUUUCAAUUAAAAGAUGACAGACAGAAUGAAUGGCCAAAGUUUUCGUCUUUUUAAGCAAAAUUUACAUUUUGGUGGCAGAAAAGAAUAACGAGUACAAACCUACUAUCUUUACUUUUGCCAGUAGCACUAUCCACAACUGUUGACUUUUGCAUAUGUGGCUUGGCAAGAUUGAUCAGAUAUUCACACUCUUCUAUAGACUGCACAAGCCAAGAGGAGGGGAAAAAAAUCGAAAUAAGUAACUUCGAACCGAUCUUCUCUCUUUUCCAGAAAAAAUAAAAAUCAUACAAAGGCUUCAAGCAAAUCAAUAUCUUAAGGAAGAUAAUAGAAUUUCUAGUGAAAUGGCAAAAAAGAUUAAAGUAAGCCUGAUAUGACACACAUCGCACAUCAUGUUUCCUAAUGAAACUUGAAUACAUACAUCUUCCUCACUUAUAAACAUACAGCACAAAAUUGCCUACAAAGUCAAGCAACAAUCAUUUCAGGAUUUAUAGGAUCACAUAUAUGUACCUUCAAAUCCUAAUCCUGGCAACUAAUCUACUAGGCAGCUAGCAAUGCCAAGGCACAUCUCAGUUAAAGCAACCCUCAGUUAUGAACUUAAUUACACGCAAAUUCAGAGAAAACAUUUGUAAAUUCAGCCACAUAAAUCAACUAGCACAGAAGAUCUAAACGAAUUCAAUGAAACCAAUUAAACUGGCAGAUACAUAACAAAUUUUUAUCGACUUCUUCAAAUGAAUUUCAUUUCCAAUCAAAUUACAUUCUCACGACUCCUGCAAAUCAACAUCUAUAACCACCAAAUAUACUGAUUUUUCUCCAGCCUUACUAUUGGGCCUCUUCCCUAAUCAGUUCUUCAACCAUUCGCCACGGAUAUGCAUACAAAAACAUGCAGACUAAUUCACUAAUAACAAAUAAAAAUACCAUAUGACCCAACCAGAGAGGGGGGGAAGAAAGUUUACCAAGAAAUUGUGGUAAACAACUGCUCUAGGUUCCCAAGAGAUAACUUCAACCCACUGAUCUCCCCUCCCCUCAUCAUCAUCUUCAUCACCUCUGCACCAAAAAAACAAAAAGCAAAAAUCAAACUCCAGAUCGCAAAAAGUUCAAACAGGAAAACAAGAAAGCAAUUUAACAAUUCAAACACCCGUGAUUUCAUUUCAAUGUAUCGUUACCUAUCAAUACUGUUAUGGGCAAUUGUGCUGAGAUCGUGCGCUUUCUGAGAAUCUCUAGAAGUGCUGGGAAUGGAGAGUAAUCCGAGGGAUAACAUAAUCAACAACAAAAAGGAGAACAUGAUAAACAUAGCGAAAAUCAAUGUGGAAGACGACGUCGCUUUCCGCGACGGACCCCUCAGGUGGCGCCCCUUCACCGCCAUUGCAAAUUUCACUUUCGGAGAUCUUCGGGGGAUGAAUUUAGGAAUCGACCAACAAGUCUCGUUCAAUUUUGUUGUGUAAUCUGGGAAUUUUUCAGUUGAAAUUGGAGAUAGUACGCCAAGAGAGAAGUUAGGCUUUUAAUUAAUGAAUAAUUAAAGACUAGUACUCAUACACAAAGCAGUAGCAGCUGAAAAUAUGGCCAUACACCGCCACUCCAGCACACAUUCUCCUCCUUUUCUAAAUACGUUAUGUAUUCAUUCUUGCACUUCAACUUUAUACUUGAUACGGAGUACUAGAGUUGAAAUAUAUAUUUUGUCUUGUAAUUUAUAUAUGAUAUUGGCAACCCAUAUUGUUGUUGUUUUUUUGUUGGGAAAAUGACAUGUUUCGUCCCUUACAUUUUGCAAAAAUAUUUUUUUCAUCCCUUACUUUUAAAAUGAAGCAAAUUCAUCCCUGACAUUUAAAAAUUAAAGCUAUUACAUCCCUGAACCUAAUUUUCAAUCUGAAUCAAAUCAUCCAAUAACCCAGUAAUAAAUUUCGAAAAUAGAAUUGAUAGAUCAUUCGGUUAACUUCAUCAUAUUCACAUGACAUUUAUUAAACCAAAAAAAUAAAAAUUAUAACAUAAAAGACCAUUAUUUGUCUUGGAAUAGUAGAGUUUUUUUUUUUGUAAAUCUUUUCAUGCACCGUUAGUAUAUCCGCUUGCGAAUCUAAAUGUGUAUCAUAAAUAUAAAAUUUGGUGUUUAAAUUUAAAUUAAAAUGAUAUGGUGGUACAUAAAACUGUCAGUGUAUACAAUGAUAAUAUAGGAAAGAUUAAUCUUUCUUUUUUAUGUUAUAAUUUUUUAUUUUUUAUUUUUAGGUUCAUUAAUUUUCACAUGAAUAUCAAGUUGAGUUAACCAAGUGAUCUACUAAUUACACCCCCGAAAUUUGUAAUCAGGUUGAUUGGUGGUUUGAUUCAGAUUGAAAUUUGGGUUCAGGGAUGUAAUAAUUUCAGUUUUUAAAUGUCAAGGACGAAAUUGGUUCAUUUUAAAAGUGAGGGACGAGAAGAAUAUUUUUGUGAAAUGUGAAAGAUGAAACCGAUCAUUUUUCCUUUUUUGUUUUACAUUUUUCCCCUCUUAAAAAUAUAAAUUAUGAUUCUAAAACAAAGCUGGGGAUUGACCAAAAUAAAAAUUCAUACUAGUUGCUUUAAUUUGAUGGCAACAAGUCAAAUUAUUGUUUGAAACUUUGAAUAGCAAAAGCGCUAGUUUUGAUUAAGUUAGCACAUUGGUUUCUUGAAAUAAUUAUUUCCAAAUAAAGAAAAAAGGUCUUUGCGCAAAAAAAAAAAAACUUUAUAUUAUAUGUUAACCAAUAUCUAUCUAAUAGAUACUCAAUAAAAAAAUUUUUUAAAAAAAGUGUAAUGCACGUUCACCCAUGACCAUGAGUUGGGGUCAACUCCCCCGUCCGAUGCAUAUUGACAUUUUCUUCGAAGAUGCGUUGAGAUUGUUAUGUGUUAAAAAAAAAAAAAAAUUAAGGACCGGCCACUGGCAUUAGUUGGCAAAAGUGUCGAAUAAAAUUACCAAUAGCCAAUGCAUCCCUUCAAGUUUUAUGGAGGAGGGCAUGCAACCGUUCCUGAAGAUUUAUGGCUAAGAUUUGAUCCAAAAAACAUAUAAGACUCAAAUUGCAUAUUGUACGUCAUUUUUCACGUUAUAUAUAAAAUUUAUAAAAUUUUAUUUUAUAAUUAUAUAUUAUUAAAAAUAAAUUAUACUGUAUACAUACAAAACAUAAUUUGUACAUUUUACACAAAAUCAUUCCGAAUAAUUUUCUGACAAAAUGUUCCGGUCCCUUGUCCAAGUUCUACCGACAAAAACCCGAGUGAAGGAGGCACAUGGGUUGGGUGUGUUUUGGAGCUGGCGCUCAUAAUUCUGACUAGUGCAGUUGCACUUGGGUUAAGUUCAUUACACAAACGUUUUGACUCUACACUUGCUGAAACGCAGAUAGCGUUGAAUUGCGGAUAAAUAAAGUUGGUAGUUUUGGUACAAAACCGGCUUUAUCAUUUUUAUUGAUGAACAUUGGAAUUUGGAAGGAAAUCCUUCUUGGGAAAAUGCCCCGUUUGGAUUGCUUUUAUCUGGAUUUUUUUUUUUGUAGAAAAAUUACUGUAUCGAUUUGAUACAUAUGAAGUAAAAAGGUGAUAGAAAAAUAUGUUCACGAAAAAUAUAAUAAUUUUUUUGAGAAAAAAUCGCAAUCCACUUUCCAUCAUCAUAGACUAUGAACAGUGGGUCUAUACAAGUAUCCAUUGUCCACGGCCACGCAGGGAAAACACGGCAUUUCAUUUAUCUAUUGAUACUUGUGUAUAAUUUUAACAGGUUCGUUUGACAUUUCUCACACGCCUACAGCUUUUUCAUUUAUGAUAAGAGGCAGUUGAGAGGCGGUCAAUUAGAAUAUCUAACAAUUUCACAAUCAGAUCGGUAGACAACAAAGCACUAUUCAAUGAUCAAUGGAAAAACCUGGAGGCAAAACUCGAGUACUUGAAGAGCCUUCUGAAAGCUAGUAGUUCUCGAAGAGAAACCAGGAUGGCUAUCACAUACAUAAUUCUUAUAUAAAAAGCAGUGAAAUCAAAGCCAGCAGAUAAGGGCUUGGAUGCAUAUCAGAGCACUUUUCACUUUUAAAUUGAUCGUGUAGUACAGCACCUACAUUCCUAAAAGAUUCCCAAAUUUCUAGUAGCUGGAGGAGGAGCUGACAUGUAACAACAAAAUUGCGGGAUAUGGGUUGAUGCUCUUCGUUUGGGCGUAUCCAUGGACUCGAUGACUGGCUGGUUCAGAUAUGCAUAUUUGCUCUUUGUCCACCUGCAUAUUUGGGUAGGAGAGAAAUUUAUAUGACAACUAAAAGCAUAACUGAAUAUUGUAAUCUCAGCAAUGUGGCAUAAUAAAGGAGUGUGGCAGAGCCAGCUACAAUCAAUGAGAUUGCUAAAACAUCUCAGUGAGCCUCUUCAACUUACCAAUCCUUUAUUCCUACUCGCAACUCUUUAAUCUUCUCAUCCUUCUGGCUAAAGCUUUUAGCAGUAUCCUUUUCUUUACCAUCAUCAUCCUCCUUCAAAGAUUCCUCAAAUCGCCGAUAAUCAUCUUCCUGUACACCAGAUAUUCAAGAACAUUAAUCACCAAUACCAGCAUUUAAAAUCAAAAUCAUCCCUCUUUACACGUUUCCCCAGACAAAGUUAACAAAAACAAGAUCUACAGACAAAUGCUUGCCCUUUAAACCGAAAUUUUUUGUCGAAAAAUGGCCGGAAAUACUGUAUGUUAAUGGGCAUGGUUGGCUGUUGAAUUAUCCCACUAUACAAGUAUUAGAGAGGAAAUUCGUGACCGCUCUGCAGUUAAGUUGAAAUUGGAUGCUAGCAAAUGAAAGACAAUGGCCUGUAUCAAGCAGGUCUUCUAUUUAAAUGCAGUCCAAGACCAUGUCUUUAUCUGAGAAAACGAAAAUUUAUCCAGGAAAUAAGAUGUUAGGUGAUGAGAAUAAAGCCACAAACAUGAAUCAAUCAAGGGUUCUAAUGAUUUUGAAUUAAAGAAUGCUUAUAAAGUACUCUUUUGCAUUGAUUGACCGGCCACCAUAAUCAGUUCUAUCAAGCUCCUUAUUUCUAGCAUACCAUCACCAGAACCGUGAAUAAGAAUAAAAAGAUAAAACAGCAGUAGCAUCCGUAAGUUUAUAAACCAAAAUGCAAAAUGGAAAACAUUGGUGAUAUCCUUGUAGAAUGGACUUGAUGUGGACCAAGUCAAGCAAGGAAGCAUGUUUCUACUUCGUCAAAAUUUAGUGACUUUUCCUUUUUUGAUAAACAGAAAACUGUUAAUAAAAUCUCAAUGCCUGGAGCAUACUUUGUUAGAUAAGAAUCUUCGUUCCAGUAUCCAAUAAAACUGAACUCAAAUGCAAUUCAUGGUAAUUCUUGAAAGCCAUUUUUCCAGGAUCCUCAAACUUUUGUGUUUGUAGCAAGAACUCUACGAUGAAACUUACUGACAGAUUGCGCGCCCUGAUACGAGCAGCAGCUUUGAUUGCAGCAAGCAGGUGAUCUUCCUCGACCAUACUCCUUUGCCUCCAAUACAUAGCAAUCUCUUGAUUAGUCACGCUCACCACUGUUGGUCGCUUUAUUGCUGGAUUGGCAGUACACGAAAACUUGGGUAAUGGUGGCAGAGGAGGAGGAGGUGGUGGAGUAGAGCCCAUCUUUAGCCUCGAACUAUGAGUUUCGCUUUUAGUUUCGAUUUGCAUCAUUUUGAAAAUUUCUAACCAAUUUUACUCAUGCAGAGAGCCCCUAACAAAUUUGAUCUGUUGUUUCUCCAAUUCUUAUAGUGGAGCUCAAGUCCUUGAGAGUUAAGACGCACAAGUUUCAUGAAUGUGCUGCAGCUAAUGAUUCAACUUCCAACCUAACUGUCAGAGAGACUAGGUGACCAUGAUUUGUCUUCUCUAGGCGCAACUCUUCUGCAUAAAUAACUUGCACAAUUCUGUUAGUCCAUACACUGUACAAGCAAGUGAGAGCAAAUGAAAAUCUGACUGACUUGAAAGAGAAAAGGAGCAAAAUCUGACUGGUAGAUGCAACCUUGACAUUUCCAGUGAAAGGGUAAGAUUGACAGCAUGUUGCUACUUACUUUCUCGAACCAAAUACGAAACAUCUCAUCUGCGUACGGUUAGAUGUCAAUAACCUACCAGUCCACAGGAGACACUCAAAUGCUGGACAUCGAAUGCUGCUAGAAACCAAGUUGGGAACUCUACUUCAAAAGCUUUCAAUUUUAUCAUAGUUUGCCUGAAAAUGAAAGAGACUGCACCUCGCAGGGAAAACAUUAACAACAUAGAGAUGGACGUAUCUACCUUAAUCACUCUUUAGACAUAUUUUAAUAACGUGCUGCCAUCAUCAUUUCUCAGCCAGUCGGCAGCUUCAAACAAAUCCAUCAAUUUCCUCAAGAUUGCAAUUGGAUUCUGAGCAGCUAAAUAUACCAACAAAACCAACCAGAACAUAACAAAAAAGAAGCCUUUAUUCCAACAAUUCCAUUUUUUACAAAACAGAUUCAAAAAUACACCUUCUAUAUCAAGACUCUCUAGAGUAUAGACGCCCUAAAGGCCACAAAAUACAAGGGAAGCACCCAUCAUCAUAAAACCCAAAACCCAAGGGAAAAAAAAUACAAUCUUGCUCAGGUCUCUGAAGUGAUCCUUAAAGCCUUGGUCUUGAAUCUGUACCUUGGAGCUCUAGGAAUAACCUGACUAGGUCCCAUAUGGAGCUGGCCCGGACUAUCAGUCAUGGGUGGCCCGUCAUCGUAAAUAUAACCGACCCGUUUGCCGCAACUAUUGCACAUGAUCUUGGUUCGAUUCCUUUGGAUGCCCCAAUAAUUGACUGUCUCGAAAAAAGGUACGAACUUGUUUUCCUUCUGGUAGCUGAAUUUGGAAGAGUCAAUCAUGGCAAAAGAAAGAGUCCCUUUAUUGCCUGCCUCAAAAUAGAAAUCCGGUGGGUAGAGAUGGAACGUGUGGAGGUUUAGAUUGGCUCCGCACUCUUUGCAGCUGUAGACCGAUGCCAUUUUUCGUUGCUUGUAUACCUUUGGCUGUAGAGAUGAAUGUGGUUAGAAAUUGCAAAUGGGUUUUGAAGGCUUAAACAGGUUAGAAAAUUGCCGUGGCCAAUCGUUGUCCGUGGAAAGUUCUAAGUUCUAGAUGGCAAUGCCGGUACGCGGCAGCAAAAUGGAGGAUGUUCUUGAAAGAAAUGGUUAAUUGUUUGCUAAAACUAUAAUUAGAUCUAUAAGUAUUGAAACAUUACAAUCAACCCCCUUGAUUAAACAAGGGUGGACUCUCCAUUUGGAAAGUAUAAAUGAACAUUUGACCAAACAAGAACAGAUAGAUGGAAGAAAAUGAACAAAAACCCCAUACAGAAGUUUUACAAAGCAAUCAAAUUACAAUUCUUUCAUACGUUUCAUUCUCAGGUAGAGCUGAAAGGUAAACCAAAUUACUUAAUAUUUGAAUGAAUUUGAUUUGGUGAGAGUUUGUUCAAGUUUGAUUCACUAACUAGUCAAAUAAAGUUUCAACAGUAUUUUGUGUUUAAUAAUAUUCAAAUUCGAUAAAAAAAAAUCAUCCAAUAUCAGUUCAAUAGAUAAAUAAAUCAAAAUUUAACAAAAUUUCAAAUUCAUUAAAAUAACUAAACAAAUUUAAACAUUAUGACGGACAAAACUGAUUUACACCUCUAAUAUCAAGUCACUUCUGUUUCAAAUUACACAUCAUUAGCUUAUGCCCUAGCUAGCCCAAAUCUUAAAAAACCAAAUAGUAAUUCUUUACCUCUGCUUUGCCUCUACUCCAAGAUGCCUAAUUCCCAAUUGAAAAAUAGGAAUGGUAAUUGAGGCGGGUGCUCAUGGAGGGCUAAUGGGGUGGUGAUUGAGAGGGCGCCGGGGAGGGGGGAGGGGGGGAUUUUUUUUCCCCAUUCGCCUCGUCCCCCCAUUCGCCCCGUCCCGCCACCUGUUAAAAUAAAUAAAUAAAUAUGUAUAUAAUUAUAUAUAUAUAAUAUUUAAUUUAAUUAGUUACAAACUUAUAAUAAUUAUAUUAUUAGUUAUAAGUAUUAUAUAAUAUAUAUUAAUAUAUGUAAUAUAAUUAAUAUUAUCAAUUAUACUAAUAAUUAUGCAUGUCUACUAAUAGAAAUUAUUAAUUAGUUAUACUAAAUUUACUAAUACAUUUAUACUAAAUUUCUAAUUACACUUAACACAAUAACAUUUUUUUCUAAAAAAAACACAAUAAUGCCUUAGUAAUUGUAUUUGUAUCAAAAGUAAAAACUUGACUACUUUAAUUGUAUUAGUUUUAUCAUGUUUGAUUGUAUUCAAAUAACUUUUUUUGAUUGUUUUAUGGGUUUUAAUUGUGAAAUUACAAUGGAUAAUAAUUUAGUGAUGUAUUAAUAUUUUAGUAUUUGAUUAUUUACUGAAAUUUAACUAUAAUAAAAUUAUAUGACAAAUUUUUUAUUAACAACGUGAGGGAAGUGGCACGAGGGAGGGGGGAGGGUGAGGGAUGGGGACGAAAGGAAUUAGUGGACAACGGUGCCAUUCCUAUUGAGAAACGUGUAAUUUAGCGCAAAUCUUUAAUAGGUCAAUGCAAUUAACCCUAGACGAAAAAUGGUUUAAACUCAUUAUUCGGGUUUGGAAACGGUCAUUGAGAAUUUAAUCAUGCUUAGCUUUCUUGAAAAUGCAAUCACAGUACUUUAAUAUUUGUCAUACUAUAUAAGGUUUAUAAGGUUUGUCAUACUAUUUGUCAUGCUUAGAUUUACUUUUUAUUAUUGUGGGUUUCUAUUGUAACUUGCAAUCUUGUUCUCAUGUCAACGAAUAGUUUAGUAUAAAAUAAAUUAAUGGUCAUGCAUGUUUCGGCAUUCCAAUAAUAAUGAAGCAUGGAAAAAUAACUUUUAUGUCAGUAAAUUAGCUAAACUGUUACAGGAUCUUAUCAUUAUGCUUGUUAGUAGUUACUGGUAUUUUAUGCUUUCAAGAAUUUUGACUGAUGAACUUGUAUUACAGGGCAAUUUUGGUUCUUAUUUUUAUUGAUUCUUUUUUUUUUUUUUUUUUACAGUUUUUUUCCAAAGAGAAACUUCAAAUCUCGAGUAAGGUAAUGAAUAGUAAGUCGUCUCAAAAUGGUACGAGGGCUAUAGGAGAAUAUUUUAAAGAAAGAAAGAAAGGAUUUAUACUUUUCAUCUUGUGACACGUGUUUGGAUAGCUUUUUAUUAAAAAAAUAAUUAUUUCAUUCUAUUGUAAGCACUUUUUUAAGAAUUUUUUUAAUCACAUUUUCACAUCAUAUACAUAAAGUCACAAAAAAUAUUAUAAUUAUUUUUUUAAAAAAAUACUAAGAUUGCAAAAAAUGUGGUGAACAAGUAGAAGAUCUUGAAAUAAAUAUUUUAUUGUAGUCACUUAGACAAAAAGGUAAUUACCACCUCAACAUAUUUAUGUAAAAACUACCCAAAAAAAUUGCAAAUAUAGUAGCUAGGAAUUACUAGCAAUUAUUUAUUGAAUAAAUUACUACUGAAAUUACGUAUGACUGGCAACGGCCAAUUCUGAUAGGACUUGCAAAUCGAAUCAAGCCUGUUUUUGCUUCUUCUACUUCCUUUUCUUCUUUCUUUUACAAAUUAUUGUCCUUUUUUUUUUUUUUAAUUGUUCGAUAAGACGCAAUUACACCCGGCGCAUAUUAGCCGCCCCGAAAGGUCGGUCAACAGAUGGCGUACAAUGGAGGGUCUCCCUUCUAUAAAUACCCCCCUAUCCCCUCAUUUCUGAGGUUUCUCAAGGGUCUCCUUCCUCCCGAGUGAGAAGAAGGGAGCGAUCGCUUCAGAUCUCAACUGAGGAAAGACUGGUAAUAACAGAAAAAAGGGAAGAAGGACAAAUUAAAUUUUAAUCCAAUUAAUGAAAAGCCGCCGUAACGUUUUAGCUGACAAUUCUUGUGUGGUUUGAGAAACCCUAAAAUUGGGUCUCGGUGCCUGCUACCAUGGAUGUACGAUUCCCGUACUCUCCGGCGGAGGUGGCCAAGGUCCGGGUGGUCCAGUUCGGCAUCCUCAGCCCCGAUGAAAUUGUAAUUUCUCUAAACUCCAUGCCCUUUUCGCAAAUUAUAUCUACUCCAGGGUUUUGGAUUUGGGUUUUGAUAUUGAUUUUCACUCUGCCUUACUGGAGCUGAGUUACUGUUUUUGGAUUGAUUGCAGAGACAAAUGUCAGUGGUGCAUAUAGAGCACAGCGAGACGACAGAGAGGGGAAAGCCGAAGAUAGGGGGUUUGAGUGACCCCCGGCUGGGGACAAUUGAUCGGAAGAUGAAAUGUGAAACUUGUAUGGCUAGUAUGGCGGAAUGCCCCGGUCAUUUUGGUCAUCUUGAGCUAGCAAAGCCUAUGUUUCACAUUGGUUUUAUAAAGACAGUGCUCAGUAUUAUGCGUUGCGUAUGCUUUAACUGCUCCAAAAUACUAGCAGAUGAGGUACCUUUGCACAAAUCAUUACUAAAAUUAGCCCUGAAUAUUUUGGAGUUUUCACAUGCUUAGUAAUUAAUUUUUCUUCAAAAGCAUGAGAAUUUAACAAGAGUAAUGCAUUAGACGUAUACCGACAAACUGUGUUGAUCUUUCUUUCCAACUUAAUUGGUGGAGAUAUUAGCAGACGAGAUAUCUGUAUGCAAGUUGCUAUAUUACAGUUUAGCUCUUAACAUUUGGAUGUUUGACAUGUUGAAUAAUCAUCUGUGGUUUUAAAAUUCCCUUGUUGCAGAGCAAUGAUAUGUAAAUCAAUGAACCCUGAUAAGUUUUCUUGCCAAUUCAGUCGUACAUAGCAAGUGCUGGUUGAAAAUUCGUAGGCCCACAGCAUAGCUGUAAAUAUUGCGCAACCUGCACCUAACUCGAGUUAUGGCUGCAUUCCUCUUGUCACAUGCACAUGGGCGCAUUCCCUGUUGCUCUAAAUUAGUGUAAUUUGAUGAAAUUCUAGGAUCUCAAAUAUUUGCUAUCUAGUUCCUUCUUUUAUAGGGUUAACUGCUUUAUAAAGCUGAUCAUAUGAAAUCAUUUACCCAUCUAUACCUAAUCUUUGCUUAGGCUUGGAAAGUUUGAUUGUCAACAAAUGUUAUGAAUUGCACUCUGCUUAGAAUUAAGGGAAGAUAUUUUUAGAGUCAGUAACAACUAUUAAAUGAUGUUAUGUGUUGUUCCUUUGAUGCAGAGGAUGCAAGAUAAAUGGAGGUGUCAAAAACAUUUAUGAUGGCUUCAGUUGGAAAAUCACUGUAUAGUUAUGCAGUUUGUUUUAGGUUAUAGGUGUUUGGAUGCUGAAUCUAUGGUACUGAAGAAUCUUUAUUUCCACUUAAUCAGCUCUUGCAUCAUACCCAUUGUUCUCGCUAUAUUUAGUUUCUCAGUGAUUGAUCUUUUUUGUAUCUAUAAAGAUGUAAUUGUUUUGUUUUUGUGGCUAGGAGUUUUAAAUCAGUUGAUUGUACAAAUGGUUCAUCUGUGACAUGUUCCUCGAUUCCAUCUAUAUGUGGUGUUUGGCUGUCCUUUUUUUUUGGCACUGGCAUUAGGCAGACCUUUGUGCAACAGGCAGCUACUUCACUUAAUACAUACUAGUGGAGGCAGGAGCUUUACUUCCAAUACUAUUUGAAAAUUAUAUUUUUAUACCAACUCUACCCCGGACAGAAAUGGUUUAGAAGGGUUCUUAUGGAUGAUUUAAAAGCAUAUCUGCUUAACAAUAGUGAAUAAAUGGGUUCCAUUAUCUUAACAGUGGUCUCUUCUUGUCGUAAAUACAGGAGGAUCCCAAGUUCAAGCAGGCACUCAGGAUAAGAAAUCCUAAGAAUAGACUUAAGAAGAUAUUGGAUGCCUGCAAAAACAAAAGUAAAUGCGAAGGAGGUGAUGAAAUUGAUGUUCAAGGUCAAGAUUCUGAAGAACCAGUUAAGAAGACACGGGGUGGUUGUGGUGCUCAGCAGCCAAAACUUACUAUUGAUGGAAUGAAAAUGGUUGCUGAAUACAAGGUUCAGAAAAAGAAAAAUGAUGAUCAAGAGCAGUUGCCUGAACCUGUUGAGCGAAAGCAACAGCUUUCUGCAGAAAAGGUGACUUGUCUUGGAGUCUAAUUGACUUUUGGGAAUGGAAUUCACCCGUAUCUGUUGGCUUUCUCUUUAUUGGGCAUGAAGGGUAUUUUUUUAACCCCUUCCGACUGUGGUGCUCCAUGGAACUGAACAUUAGUUUGCCUGUUUAUUCAGGUUCUUAGUAUUCUGAAAAGGAUAAGUGAUGAAGAUUGCCAGUUACUAGGAUUCAACCCCAAAUAUGCUCGUCCAGACUGGAUGAUUCUUCAAGUUCUUCCUAUACCACCACCUCCUGUUAGACCUUCUGUAAUGAUGGACACUUCUUCAAGGAGUGAGGCAAGCCAAUUUCUUCAUGCUUUGAAUUCUGAUUACCAGCUUAUUCUUACUCUAUGCUUUUACUUUGAUUGCACUGGUUGAGUUGCUUAAUUGGUAACAUUGCAAUCAGCCACUUCACCCAUGGACAGAUUUUAAUCAUCUAUUUGUUAAUGCAGGAUGAUCUGACUCAUCAGCUAGCUAUGGUCAUAAGGCACAAUGAGAAUCUUAAGAGGCAAGAGAGAAAUGGUGCACCUGCUCACAUAAUCUCAGAAUUUGCACAGUUAUUGCAGUUCCAUAUAGCUACAUACUUUGAUAAUGAACUGCCUGGACAGCCAAGAGUAUGAUUUUUUCUUUGUUAAAGCAAUUGAAGUUAAUGCGUGAAAAAUAUUGUAUCGACUUGAUUAGUCACUUUUCAGGCUACACAAAGAUCUGGUAGACCAAUUAAAUCAAUAUGUAGCAGAUUGAAAGCGAAGGAAGGUCGGAUUAGAGGCAACUUGAUGGGUAAAAGAGUGGACUUUUCUGCUCGGACUGUGAUUACACCUGACCCAACAAUCAAUAUUGAUCAACUGGGAGUGCCUUGGAGCAUUGCUCUCAAUCUGACAUAUCCAGAAACUGUUACUCCUUACAACAUUGAAAGGUCUUGUAAUUGCUUUUUCUGUUAACAGUUUUGCUUCUAUAUCAUGAUUUUGAAUAGACAACUGCACUCGAAUAUUGAACAGGUUGAAAGAGCUUGUUGAAUAUGGCCCGCAUCCACCACCAGGAAAAACUGGUGCCAAGUACAUAAUCAGAGAUGAUGGUCAGAGGCUUGAUCUUCGUUAUUUGAAAAAAAGCAGUGAUCAGCAUCUGGAACUUGGAUAUAAGGCAAGCUUCUGUAAUAUCUUGAUAAGAGUUGUGAUUUUUUGCUACUUCUGGUUAACUGUAUUGUUGUGGUGCAGGUGGAGCGGCACUUAAAUGAUGGGGAUUUUGUACUUUUCAAUAGGCAACCUAGUCUGCACAAAAUGUCUAUAAUGGGGCAUAGGAUCAAGAUCAUGCCAUAUUCAACAUUUCGUUUAAAUUUGUCGGUUACUUCACCAUACAAUGCUGAUUUUGAUGGGGAUGAGAUGAAUAUGCAUGUUCCGCAGUCAUUUGAAACUAGAGCAGAAGUUCUGGAACUUAUGAUGGUCCCUAAAUGCAUCGUUUCACCCCAAUCAAAUCGGCCAGUGAUGGGCAUUGUCCAGGAUACACUUUUGGGAUGCCGCAAGAUAACUAAAAGAGAUACAUUUAUUGAGAAGGUACUUGGUUUGUUUCAUUUCCUCUGUUUGGACCAGACACCAUCCUUCACUGUUUCUUUCUUGAAUCUGAACUCUUAAUUGGUCCUUAUUGUGCAGGAUGUCUUUAUGAACAUUUUGAUGUGGUGGGAGGAUUUUGAUGGGAAGAUACCUGCUCCAGCAAUCUUGAAACCAAGGCCUCUUUGGACAGGAAAGCAAGUUUUCAAUCUUAUUAUUCCAAAACAAAUUAAUCUCCAGAGAAAUGCGGCAUGGCAUCAAGAUGAUGAACCUGGGCCUAUAACUCCGGGAGACACUCAAGUUCGUAUUGAGAAAGGGGAGUUGCUUACCGGUACCCUUUGCAAGAAGGCACUUGGAACUUCCACUGGAAGUCUUAUUCAUGUUAUUUGGUAUGAUUACAAGUUUCUGAAAUCGUAACCUUUUGUCCACAGCUUGACUGUGACAGCUUGGAAAUAUUCUAUUGGCUUCAUGAUCUAAUGAGAUUCUUUGCUUUUCUUGAUUAACUUCUGGUUUCGCUAUACUAGUUUCAACAUGCAAGCAAUCUGUAUUCAGUAUUGUUGCUUAAUAGCAACAUACUGGGUCAGUGCGUGAAAAGUUCCAUGGUUUUUAUCCAUGAUCAAACACAGCUGCAACAUGAGAUAGUGCUUCUAUAUGGAACGAUGAAUUAUUUUAAUUGACUUGUACUAAUACAUGCAGGGAGGAGGUUGGUCCAGAUGCAGCUCGCAAGUUUCUUGGACAUACACAGUGGCUUGUCAAUUAUUGGCUUUUGCAGAAUGGUUUUAGCAUUGGAAUUGGAGAUACUAUUGCUGAUGCUCAAACUAUGGAAAAAAUCAAUGAUACUAUUUCAAAUGCGAAGAAUGAUGUGAAAGAACUUAUCAGGAAAGCUCAAGAAAAGGCACUGGAGGCUGAACCUGGACGAACUAUGAUGGACUCAUUUGAAAACAAAGUGAACCAGGUAUUUAUAUUUAAUGGACGAUCUUAUAUGCCUUUUGUAUGCUCUCCUAUCUUUUGAGGUUUGAGAUGUGCGAUCUGGUUGUCUUAGGUGCUGAAUAAGGCUCGUGAUGAUGCUGGAAGCAGUGCCCAAAAGAGCUUAUCAGAGAGUAACAAUCUAAAGGCAAUGGUUACUGCAGGAUCGAAGGGAAGUUUCAUCAAUAUAUCUCAGAUGACUGCUUGUGUGGGGCAGCAGAAUGUGGAAGGUAAACGAAUUCCUUUUGGAUUCAUUGACAGGACGCUGCCUCAUUUUACUAAAGAUGAUUUUGGUCCGGAAAGUCGUGGUUUUGUGGAGAAUUCAUAUCUGCGUGGGUUGACCCCCCAAGAGUUCUUCUUUCAUGCAAUGGGUGGUAGGGAAGGUCUGAUAGAUACGGCCGUUAAAACUUCUGAGACUGGUUACAUCCAAAGACGAUUGGUGAAGGCCAUGGAGGAUAUCAUGGUUAAAUAUGAUGGAACUGUCAGGAAUUCCCUGGGGGAUGUUAUUCAGUUUCUUUAUGGGGAAGAUGGCAUGGAUUCUGUGUGGAUUGAAUCACAGAAACUGGAAUCCUUAAAAGUCAAGAAAGGUGAAUUUGAUAGCAUGUACAAAUAUGAGAUUGAUGAUCCGAAUUGGAACCCUGAUUACAUGUUACCGGAAGCUGUGGAAGAUCUAAAGACCAUCCGGGAAAUCCGGAGUGUUUUUGAAGCAGAGUUUCAGAAACUUGAAGCUGAUAGGUUGCAACUAGGGACAGAGAUUGCAACCACAGGUGAUAACACCUGGCCUUUGCCUGUAAACAUUAGGAGACUUGUCUCAAAUGCACAGAAGACCUUUAAGAUAGAUUUCCGAAGGCCUUCAGAUAUGCAUCCCAUGGAGAUUGUUGAAGCAGUAGAUAAGCUACAGGAGAGGCUUAAGGUUGUUCAUGGUGAUGAUUAUCUUAGUGCUGAAGCUCAAAAGAAUGCUACCCUUUUCUUCAAUAUAUUGCUUCGGAGUGCCUUGGCGAGUAAAAGAGUAUUGAAUGACUACAGGCUUACUCGUGAAGCUUUUGAUUGGGUAAUUGGUGAGAUAGAGUCGCGUUUCCUACAGUCACUUGUCGCUCCUGGAGAAAUGAUUGGUUGUGUUGCUGCACAAUCCAUUGGUGAGCCUGCCACUCAGAUGACUCUUAAUACAUUCCAUUAUGCUGGUGUGAGUGCCAAGAAUGUUACCCUUGGUGUUCCUAGGUUGAGGGAGAUCAUUAAUGUGGCUAAGAAGAUAAAAACACCGUCUCUCUCAAUAUACCUGAAGCAUAAGGCAAGUGAAACAAAGGAGAAGGCAAAAAAUGUCCAAUGUGCUUUAGAAUACACCACCUUGCGUAGUGUUACACAGGCCACGGAAGUAUGGUACGAUCCAGAUCCAAUGAGCACCAUAAUCCCUGAAGACGUUGAAUUUGUGAAGUCUUAUUAUGAAAUGCCAGAUGAAGACAUCGAUCCUGAUAAAAUUUCUCCCUGGUUGCUGAGAAUAGAGUUGAAUCGGGAAAUGAUGGUAGACAAGAAGCUGAGUAUGGCAGACAUCGCGGAGAAGAUCAACCUUGAGUUUGAUAGUGAUCUGACUUGUAUAUUCAAUGAUGACAACGCUGAUAAGCUGAUACUUCGUAUUCGGAUCAUGAAUGAUGAAGCACCCAAGGGGGAGCUGAAUGAUGAAUCUGCUGAGGAUGAUGUCUUCCUUAAAAAGAUUGAGAGCAACAUGCUAACCGAAAUGGCUCUUCGGGGUAUUCCUGAUAUUAACAAAGUUUUUAUCAAACAAGCUAAAGUAAACAAAUUUACUCAGGAGGAAGGAUUUAAGACAGACUCCAAUGAGUUUAUGUUGGACUCAGAAGGUGUUAAUCUUUUAGCCGUUAUGUGCCAUGAAGAUGUUGAUGCCAGCAGGACGACAAGUAAUCACUUGAUUGAAGUUAUUGAAAUUCUUGGAAUAGAGGCAGUACGUAAGGCAUUGCUGGACGAAUUGCGUGUUGUCAUAUCCUUUGAUGGGUCUUAUGUAAACUACCGGCACCUUGCAAUAUUGUGUGAUACCAUGACUUAUCGUGGUCAUUUGAUGGCAAUCACUCGUCAUGGGAUUAAUCGAAAUGAUACUGGGCCAUUGAUGAGGUGCUCUUUUGAAGAAACUGUUGAUAUACUUCUCGAUGCUGCUGUUUAUGCGGAAACAGAUUACCUCCGGGGGGUUACUGAAAAUAUAAUGUUGGGUCAGCUUGCACCCAUUGGCACAGGAGACUGUGCCUUGUACCUCAACGAGGAGAUGUUGAAACAGGCUAUUGAGAUUUCUCUUCCCAGUUACAUGGAGGGUAACCUAGAAUUUGGGAUGACACCUGGUCGUUCGCCUUUUGGUGGAACGCCCUACCACGAGGGGAUGAUGUCUCCAGGUUAUUUGACAAGUCCAAAUGCCCGGUUGUCACCUCAUGCAGAUGCUCAGUUCUCUCCUUUUGUGCAAUCGAUGGGAUUAACUUUCUCUCCACAAUCAUCUCCAGGUUAUAGCCCAUCAUCCCCUGGAUACAGCCCCUCAUCCCCUGGUUACAGCCCCACUUCUCCAGGUUACAGCCCUACAUCCCCUGGUUACAGCCCCACUUCCCCUGGUUAUAGUCCAACUUCUCCUACUUAUAGUCCCAGUUCUCCUGGAUAUAGCCCAACUAGUCCUGCUUAUUCUCCAACUAGUCCUUCAUACUCACCCACUUCUCCCAGCUACAGCCCCACAUCUCCCAGUUAUAGCCCAACAUCUCCAAGUUAUAGUCCUACUUCUCCCAGUUAUAGUCCGACCUCUCCGAGUUAUAGCCCCACCUCCCCAGCAUACAGCCCGACCUCCCCAGCAUACAGCCCGACCUCCCCAUCUUAUAGCCCCACAUCACCUUCUUACAGCCCUACCUCACCUUCUUAUAGCCCUACCUCACCUUCUUAUAGCCCAACCUCACCCUCUUACAGUCCAACCUCUCCAUCAUACAGUCCCACAUCACCUGCAUAUAGUCCAACUUCUCCGGGUUACAGCCCCACCUCCCCAAGUUAUAGCCCUACCUCACCGAGCUAUAGUCCCACGUCUCCUAGCUACAAUCCCUCGGCAAGGUACAGCCCUUCACUUGCAUACUCCCCAACUAGUCCGAAGCUGUCACCUUCAAGCCCAUACAGUCCUUCCUCUCCAAGUUACAGGUACCUUUUUGUCCGUUCUACAAAUUUCAAACUUGCAGGAUGCUGAUCCUGCAUGUAAGGGCUUGGCCCUUUGCAAAAGUAUUGGUUGCAUCUGCUGCAAGUAGGCAGUUGCUUGGUUAUUUUUUUGAUUUGUAAAUUCUCCUCUAGUCACGCAUGUUAACAUUAAGUUUGAUGACUUUAGUUUAGUUCCUUGUCCACUUACAUGCUUUAAUUUUUGUCAUGCAGCCCAACAUCACCUUCGUAUUCUCCAACAUCCCCAUCAUAUUCCCC
rnacentral:lncRNA from 1 species